AUCUCACGCUUGGAUUCAACAUCAGAACCCAUUUUUCCAAAAUCGGGAAAGGAAUCAAGUGCAGUCAGGAAAGCUUGUCGUGUAUAGAAUUUCUUGCCUGCACAAUCUGCACGAGCUUGGCUGAUUAUCCCGUUGAAGAACUGAGGUGAAAUAAUGGAGGCAACUGAAGCACCAGUGGGAGACUUGGAGAAACAAGGGCCUUCUUUGCAACCAGUGCCACAGUAAUCGUUACCCUGACCGCAAUAACCAUGUUGACUGCAACACAAGUUUGGCGCACAACCACAGUUUUGAGCCAACACGGUUUGGGUUAUAGCUGAAGCAACUACUAGUCCUACGAGAACAGAUGUUAGUAGCUUUUUUCCCAUAGCUAAGGACUUCAUUUUCAAAGGAUGAGAGGGAAGUUUGAUGUGAGCAGAGGGAUUGAGGCAGUGGAGAUAUUUAUAGGGUAAUGUUUUCCAAUAUCGUACUGGCUAGGGGUCUAUGUGAUCAAAGUUAUUGGACUUUUCUACCAUAGCCUGGUGCGAAUUGUUUACGAGGAAACUUCCACUUUGAUAAAAUUUAUAUUUGAUGCAUGUCUACAUCAUAAAUAUAGUUCUAUUAAAUUACAUUAACCUGAAAAAUAUUAUAUAAAUAUAUUUAUAAAAAAAUUUAUAUAAAAACUAAAUUAAUUAUUGGUUGGAAUAGCAAAAUUGAAACAUUGAAAAUCUUAAUAUUCUAGGUUGAAGUCCAUCAUUGACAUAUUUAUUAUAGGUUUAAAUUGUUUUUAUAAGGUUUUAUAUAAAAAUGAAAAUAAUUUAAUAAUAAUAUUUGUUACUUUUAAAGGAUAUUUUAGUUAAUUUUUAAUUGAGUUGGUGUUUAAAUUACUCGUGAUAGUAACACACUUAAGAAUUUAAAUAAAGUAUAAAUAUCAUGAUAGUCAAUAAGUGUUCACACUUUAUCAUUAAAAAAAAGAAUAAUGUCUUUUUUGAUCUUCCAACUUUGCAAAAAAGUUUAUUUUAGCUCUUCAUUUAAUUUUUUGUCUCUUUUAGCCAUUAAACUUGCAUUUUUUGUCAACUCACCUCAAAAUGGAAGGAAAAGUUAACUUUUCCUAACUUUGUUGAUGUAGCAUACAUGUGGAUUGCCACAUGUACGACAUGUCAGCAUUUAAUUACUUUUUUAAAAUAUUAAAAUUUUUUAUACUCUUUAAAUAAUUUUAAUGAUUUUUAAUUUUUAAAAAUUAAAAAUAAUGUUUUUAAUUUUUAAAAAUUUUAAUAAGUCAAUUAAAUACUUAUAUGCUAUCUACAUGACCAUCCAUGUGUAUGUCACAUCAAUAAAGUUAAAAAAUAUUAACUUUUCCAUCCAUAUCAGGGUAAUUUGACAGAAACACAAAUUUAAGAGCUAAAAAAUGUGAAAUUUUAAAUGAAUGGCUACAAUAAAUUCUUUUCAUAAAGUUAGAGACUAAAUAAAUUAUUACACCUUAAAAAAACUUAAAAAAAAUUCUGUUUAGAAGAGAAAUUUAGGCAAGAGAUUUCAUUUUAUUAAUAUUUUAAAUUUUCCAAAAAUAAAUUAAUUUAUUUGAAUAAAAAUUAUAAAAAAUUUCAAAAGGUCCUAUUUUUCAAAUUUUGUUAAAAUUUUAAUUCAUUUAUAUGCCUUACCACAAAAUAAAAGGAAAAAGGUUAAAGCUCAAAGUAUUUAUUUUUAUUUAUUUAAAAACUUAUAUAUCUCAUGAAUACAAUGAUUUUCGCAUUGCUUUUAUACUUUUAUAUAUAUUUGUUAUAGAAUAUUUGAGAAACUUAAAAUUUGACUCGACCACAUGAAAUGAGAAGCUCGACCCAUCUUGCAAGCCAGCUAUGGUGCCUUGCCAUCUCACAAGUCCAUCAUCACUUCGCAAGGCCCAUUUUAUGUCCAUUGCCACUUCACGAGCCCUCGCUAGUAAGCCAUUGCCUUCUCACUUCGCAAGGCAAUCUUUGCCACCUCGCACAAUCUCGUGAGCCUGACUCUUAAGCCAUCGAAGUGCCUCACCAUCUUGUAAAGAUGUCCUCACCAAGGCAUUACCAUUUAACCAUUUCGCCGUCAUCAUCUCGCCUCACAACCUUGCAAGGUGACAAGCCACCCAUCACAAACAUCACGCAAAGUGUGAUUGUAACAACUCAUUUUUUAGUGGUGUUUAAAAUAGUAGUUUCGAUGCCACAAAUCCAAUGUGUAAGCCCAUAAAUAUUAUUAUUUAAUAUUUAUGAGUUAAAUAUAAUAUUAUAGUAAAUUUUAAUUCGAUAAUUGUUGUUAUUUGAAUGAAUAGUUAAGUUCAAAUGGUUUGUCCUUAAAGUCAAGUGAUUUUGGAAAGCGAAAUAUCGAGGCCUCGUUUCUAUUAAUCGAGCCUGUAAAUAUUUUUAUUAAAUAUUUACAGAGUGGUUAUAUAGGUGUAUUAAAGUUUGGUCCAAAAAUUUUAACCUUUAGAUAAUUAAUUAAGUAAAAUGGACCAAAUUAUAAAGACUGUAAAAGUUAAUCGCUAUAAGUUUAUUUGUAUUAAAUGGUUAUAAAAGUAUUAAAUGAGGGUUUUAAAAUGCAAUUAGACCUUAUUUAGUUAGUGUGGACGAUUAAUGGGUGAAAAUAAUUAUAUGUUUAAAAUUUUUUAAUUUAAAAGAAUUAUAUGUUAUAAUAUUAUUAAAACAUUAAAAAAACAAAAGGUAAUUAAUCAUCAUCUUCAUCAUUUUAUUUUUCUUUAACCGAAACCACCAUUGAAGCUUGAGGGAAGAAUCAACCAAGAUUUAAAUCUCCUUGCAUGGUAUGAAAUUCAAGCCCCUUUUUUAGUAAUUUUUUUAUAUUUUUAAGAUCGUUGCAACUAGGUCUAGUCAAUUUAUAUCACCGAUUUCAAAAUUGUUAAAGAUUUAAAACUUUCCAUUGAUGAAUCUUAGGUUUUUUUGAUAAAAAUUUUUGGAUUUGGAAACUAUAAAAUGUUUAAGGGCUACUUGAUUAAGUAAAUUUUGUUAAUUUUGUAUUUAGGGACUUGUUAAAAAAGUAAAGUCGUAUGAAAUUCUUAUGAAAAUGUGUUAAAUAUUGGAUGUACAAGGAGUAUAUGAAAUUAUUCUAGUAUGGUUUUGGAUUAAAUGUGUUCAAUUUAAAAUUUUUGGAUUUAGUGACUAAAUUGAAUAAAAGGUAAAAAAAUUAGGGUAAAAAUGUAAAAUGUUGAUAAAGAGCAAAUAUGUGAAUUUAAGUAUUUUAUGGAAUUUGAAUCGAUUAGUUGAAUAAAAUUAAUAUAUUUAGAUCAAGAAACGUAUUAGUCGAUUGAUAAACGCAGGAAAGGAAAAUUUGUUGAUUAGAUGUUAGGGUUGUUUUUGUUGCAAAAUCGGUUUAGGUAAGUUUGUAUUAGGUUUAUUAUAUUUUUAAUGAUUUGAAUUCAAUUAUAUGUGUGUUUCUGUAUAUAUACUAUAGUUAUCAUGAUUGAGGUAAGUCAUAAAAUUGGAAAUGUUGAAUUGAUUUGUGAAGCAUGGUAAUGAGUAUGUGUGAAUUGAAUGGUAUAUAAUAUGAAAUAGAUAUGGGCAGGUUAAUCACAAUUCAAAUGAUUAAGGCCAUAGCUAAAAGACGCUAUUUAAGUUCUGUUUACUCUUACAUGCUGUGAAUAAUGAUUUAAACGAAAUAUAGGUAAAUGACUUGUUUCUAAACUGAUUUUUAAGUUCCGUAGGCCCAAUUUAAGCUCCGUUUAUGCUUAUAUGCUAUGAAUAAUGAUUGAAUGUUGAUCUAUGAUGUUUAAAUUGAUUUUUGAAUUGUUUUAAGAUAUUAUCAGACUUGUUAACUAUCGUAAUAUCCCGUAACCCUAAUUUGGUGAUGAAGACGAGUUAAGGGUGUUACAGUGAUCAUCUCACCACCUCGCGGAGAGAGACACGUUUCAGAGUACAUGUCGAGCUAGGGGUGAAUGUUUCAUGCACUUGGCACCUAACGGUCCCCUAACACGUCACAUCAGGGGACUGUGCCUUAUAAAUAUGAAAGAGUUGCUCCGAAGAGAGGGAGAACAAGAGAAAACCUUAACUCAUAAAAUUUUAAUAAUUUAUUUUUUUCUAAAAAGAAUUUAUUCAUAUAAAAAUAAUUACAAAUGCUAACAUUUUAAAAUAGUAUAUUUUAAAAUAUCUUAAUUUGAAAUUUCUAUAAGUGAAAGAAAAAAAUUAUUUUCUAAGGAUAUAUAACUUUUUAAGUUUACUUAAUAAUGAAGUGUUGCCGAUUAAGUCUUAGCUCGAUUGGUAUCGACAAUGUUGCUAAUGUAGGAGAAUGUGGAUUUGAGUGUGCUGAAAUGCAUUAUCCUCCUAUUCAAGGGUUAAGGAGGGGCUAUGGGUACUUUUAGGCAUUCUAUCAAAAAUAACAGAUAGGAUAAGAACCUAUAAUAAGAUCCUUAAACACUGCUUCAAUUUCCUUUAACUUUGUUCUUCAUGUUAUUGAACAAAAUAUUGAAGUUGUCAUUGAGAAUAUUAAUAUAACGACUUGAUUUUUUAAGUGGUUUCAAAAAAUCGAAACCUCAUUUAGGUGAAUUGAGUCCAUAAAGGUAAAAUGAGAAUAUUUAUGGAGCUAUUAUGAAAAUAUAUUGAAUAUCAGUUAAGUAAUUUAACCGAGAAAAUCGUUAAUUAAAAUUCAAGGACUAAAUUAUAAAAAUCUAAUUUCUAUUAAAUUUUAAUUUAUAAAAUACUUGAGGACCUACUUAGCAAUUAUGCAAAGGACCAAAAUGGUUAUUAAACCAUUAUUUCUUUUGUAAUUGUGGGAAUUGAUGAUGACAUCCACUUAGUUUCUAUAACUACAAUUAUGGAUAAAUAUAUAUUAGUUUUGUAAAUUAAUCAUAAUUAACUUGAGGUAGCUUAAUUAAACUAGUAAUACUAGUAUAAAUAGCAAACUCCAGUGGAAGAUGAAAACAUUUUCAUCUUGUCCAUCUUACUUUGCCGUCCUAAGUUAAAAAGAAAGAAGAAAUUUCUCCAAGCCUUCAUCUUCAUUUUUGUCCCAAAUUAACCAAGGUAAUCAAGUCAUUUUCUUCAUAUUUUUAUAGAUUCUUGAUAAUGGGAGCUUGAUUUAGCUAGCCCAUGUGUUAAUUUAAUAAAUUGGUAGAUGUUUGACAAGUUACCAUUAGAGAAAAUUUGAUGAAUUAGGCUUGAAAUUGAAAAGAUCACAAAAUAGUGAACUUAGAUUAUGUUAAGGAUUAAAUUGGAAACUAAGUUAAGCUUGUUAGAUAAUUUUGUAACAUUAAGGAAUAAAUUGAACAAAUUAAAAAUUUUCAUGAGAUUAUGUUGUAUAUUAAAAGUAUAGGGUCCCUAAUAAAAGAAUGUGAAAUCAAAAUUUGAUCCGAUGUUAGAUAUUGAAAAAUACGAGUCUCUCGAAUAUAUGGACUAAAUUUAAUAAAAUGUAAAAUAUGUUUUACUAUGUAUUUGAAUGUGAAUUGGAUGGAAAUUUACAUUGCUUUAUAAUUGAACUACCAAACAUAGCUAAGGACAACGUCGGGCCGUCUCUACAUAAAAGAAAAGCUAGUGUCGUGGACGAGUGACAAAAGUUUUGAUUUGUACUUUUAUAAUUUGAGUUCAAUACAUAAAUACAUAUACAUAUGCAUGUAUACAUAUAUGUGAUUGUUUCAAAUCUAUCUAUUGAGGUAAAUGUAUUGUUGCUUCUUGACUCGAUUUAUACAUGAUGGCAUUAAAUGUUCAGAAUUAGAUUAAAUUGAAUAUAGCAUAAAUAAGCUUGAUAUAAACUAUGAUGUGUGAUUAUUAUGUGUAUUGAUUUAGUAAUUACCCUACUACGUUUAGGGAAGAGUUGAGUUCAGUUGGCAUGCCAUGGAGUCCUCAAUAUAGUGAUUGAAAACCAUCGUUGUCAAGUACCCGGGAUGGUAGAAUAUGCAAAUAGUGAAAACCAUCAUUGUCAGGCCACCUAGGAUGAGAGAAUAUGUAAAUAGUGAAAAUUAUCGUUGUCGGGUCACUUGGGAUAGUGGAAUAUGCAAAUAGAGAAAAUCAUCAUUGUCGGGCCAAUAGGUAUGGUAGAAUAUGCAAAUAGUGAACUAUCGUUAACGAGCCAACCAGGAUGGUAGAAUACGUAAAUAGUGAAAACCAUCAUUUUCGGGUCAUCUAGGAUGGUAGAAUAUACAAAUAGUGAAAACUAUCAUUGUCGACCUAGGAUGGUAGACUAUACAAAUAGUGAAAGUAAUCAUUGUCAAGUCAACCGGGAUGGUAGAAUGUACAAGUUCUACAUGGAAUGUUAAUGAAACAAGUAUAUUUGUAACACCCCAGUUUUGACAGAUUCAAGGUUAUGGCGCGAAGUUUUAAAAAUGGUCUAUUGACAAAGUAGUAUCCGCGCAAAUAUUUCUUUUGGCAUAUAAGAUGGGCGAAUUAUAAUUAUGUGUAAGUUUGUGAUGGCUUUUUGUUGGAUUGCUAUGUUAUUUGGAAUAAGAUCUCAACCAAGUAAAAAGGUAAUGAUGGUUUGAGUUCACGCCAAGUUGGUUGAGCUACUAUGCUAAUUACAUUGUAAGUAUUGUAGUUAAAACUAAUUUAGUUAGAGUAACAGGAUAUUGGUCAUAUUGGGCUCUCAUUUUUGUUUUCUUUAUAGUUGUAAACCAUUAGCAAGGACAAUUUUGAAAAAAUAUAACAUUUGUCGAGUUCCAAUAAGGAUUUAGGUUGUAUAUAUAUGUAUUGAGAUUGAGUAAGUGGUAAGUUUUCUUCUUCAUUUUUUUCUAAAGUGCUACUAUAAUUCUUAAGAAACUACAAGCAUUUCUUUCUUUUUUAAGUUGGAAGUUGUGAUUUUGGGUAGUUAUGAAGAGAUACUUCAUGUCUGGGUAAGCAAUAUGACUUUGCAUAUUGAGUUCUAAAGAGUAAGCCUGUUAGAACUGGUAGAAUAGUAAGAUAAGGUAUAAGGCUUUGCUUGGGGACUUCCAAUGUUAGGAAUGAGGGUAAAAAGGUAUGUGAAUAGAUCUUGAUGGGUUUCUAUGUUUUUUAUCAAUGGUUGCUGCUGCUUGCGUGAUGGAAGUUUGGAUCUAGAGUUUUGAAUCGUGGUAGGUGAGAAUCGAAUGAGUCUCUAUGAUGACUUUUGCAGUUGUACUGUUCAUAUCAAAAGAUCUAUAGGGAAUUGGUUGAAAGGUGACUUAAGAUCUUGAAAGUUUUAGUAUGUAUGUGGCUAUAUAAGGGAUUAUUAAAGGAUAUCUAUGAUUAUGUGAAUGUUUGUUGUGGAUAGUAUGUAUAUUUGAUAUAGAAUCUGAUGAGUACAAGUAUGAGUAAUGUGAUGUGAAGUAUGGUUGCAUAUAAAUGUCUAGAUUGUAUGUUAUGAUAUGUGUAUGAUGUUGGUUGUUAAUAGUGAAUUAGGAAGAUUGUGCUUAGUUUGUUUCAGUGUAUGAAAUGUCUAUAAAGUGAGUUUGUUUCAUAAUUGAGCUCCAGCAUUUGUUGUGAACUCGAAGAUACAUGUGACACAGAUUUAGCCUGGACUGGUAAUUUGUUAUCAUUUUAAAGGUUUAGUCUGGAUUGGUAACCUUACAUGUAUAUUAAGCCAUGGCCAUGACAACCUCUAAAAGGAACUAAAGAAUGGUGAUUACCUAACGGGGUUUUCUGCGUGUCCUAAGAUGAUGAUGGGUGAACCUCAUGCAACGUGAAUUUAGGCAAAUCCAUAUCGUAAACAUGACAUAAAAGAAUAACUUCUAUGGUGAACUAUGAAAGAAUAACCUUUGUGGCGAACUAAAAAAGAAUAACCUUCUUGGCAAACUCUAAAAGAAUAGUUGUAACAACCCAUUUCUCUGAAGUGUCAGAACAGUUGUUUCGGGGCCACAAAUCCGACGUGUGAUAAAAAUAUUUAUGAUUAAUAUAUGAUGUAUUGAUAAAAUUUGAUUUAAUGAUUUAAGUUAAAUAGAAGAGCAAUUAGGUUCAAGUGGUAUGACCUUAAAGUCAAGCGGUUUUAGAAAAUGAGGUAUCGAGACCUCGUUUUUAUAAACCGAACCGUAAAUAUUUUUAUAAAUAUUUACGAAGUGUUAUUAAGGUUGUAUUAAAGUUUCGUUAAGAAAUUUUAAUGUUUAGAUAGUUAAUUAAGCAAAAAGAACUAAAUCAUAAUAGUUGAAAAAAUCAAUCGCUAUUAAUUUAAAGGUGUUAAUUGAUUAAAGAAACAUAAUUGGAUGGCCUUAAUGGAUAAAUUACCCAUUCUUAAAUUGGUGGAUGGAUAAAGCUUUAAUUCCUUUUAAUUUUAUAUGUGUUUUAUAUGUUAUAAUAUUUAUUAAAAGAUAAAGAAAAAAAUAAAGAAACAUAAGCAUCAUCUUUCUUCUAUUUUGGAACCGAAUGCUCUAUGGGAGUUUUCUUUAAGCUUUCAGACAUUCUUAGCUACUCAUGCAUGAUAUGAUUUCUUAAUUCAUUUCUUGUAGUUUUUAUGUUUUUAAGAUCAUUGCAACUUGGUCUAGCUAGCCCGUACCUUCGUUUUCGAAACUGUUAAAGAUUUUGAAUUAUUCCAUUAAUGAAUAUUUUUUAUUCUAGAUAUAAAAUGAUGAAUUUAAAGUAUUAGUUGUUAUUUAUAAGCAUCUUGUUAAGUGAUUUUUGAUGAAUUUACCAGUUAGGGACUAAAUUGUUAAACUAGUAAAAGUACAAGGAUUUAAUGUGUAAUAACAUCAAAUAUGGGUUGUAGUAAGGUUCUAAUAAAUUCAUAAGCUCAAAUUUGAGUAAAAAUGGUUAAUAUGCAUGUUUUAGGCUUGGAGACUAAAUUGAAUAAAAGUAAAAUAUUUAGGGUCAUUUUAUAAAAUUUUUAAAAGGACUAAAUUGCAUAAAAUGAAUUGGUUUUUUUCUAUCUAAAUUAAUGAAUUGAAUGAAAUUGUUAAUUUAGAUUAAGAACGAGUGGAAAUUAAAGAGAAGAGAAAAUUACCAAAUAACCCCUGUACUUAAUCAUUGCCGCAAUUUAGUUAUGUAAGUUCGUAUGCACUAUAGUUGCUUUAAUGUUGCUUCGAUUGAAUAAUUAUUAUAUAUUUUUGAUGUAAAAGAACUAAUAUGUAUAAAUAUAUCAAUGCUAUGAUGAAUUGAUGGUUCUCGGGCCCCAUUUCAACCAAUAUGUAUAAAUAUUUCAACUGGGGUUACCAUGUUUCGUGUGCUGGCCAUGAAUGUCCUACCGAUGGCUGAGGUCCUGCAUUUAUUGCGGAUGCUUGUCAACUUGUGUGAGCGGCAUCGUGUAGCUUACAUUCUGACCGUCAACGUGUUUGAGCAAACCCAUUUUAUGGCUUGAGUGAGCAAUGAUGUAAAGGAAAAGGAAAAAGAAUGGUUUCAACCAUAUGUUUAGCACACUUUGUGUGAGCCUUCCUGUAUAUCCAAUAUUAUUCUAAGUGGUUCAAUGGGCAUGAAAAUGAAAAGAACGGUAAUUUUUCAAAUGGCUUAUUUCAUGAAUCUAUGAAAAAGAUUGAAAAGGAAAUGUUUAAUACUUAUGUUCAUGAAAUUGAUGAUUUCAAAUGAUGUUGUUCAUGUAUAAUGAUUUACCUCAUGUUAUUUCAAGUGAAUUAUGAGUUGAUGCACUAACAUGUGUUGUGGAUGAUGCUUAGGCUUGUGCUAAGCUUAUGGUUGGAUUAUAUCAUGCUUAAUUGUAAUGAUAUACAUCGAAAUGGUAAGUGUCCAAAUGGAAAUAUGCUUAUGUGCAUGAAAAGGUUGUAUAAAUCAAAAGAUAUAUUUUCUUAUGAAAUGGCUUAUCAUGUGGUUGAUUCCAAAAAAGUUAUGUAUAAAUGCACUUGUAGAAGCCCAAAUUGCCCGGGCCCGAUUAUAUCAAAACCUAACCAAACCUCUAAACCCACUAAAACCCUUAAACCAUGACCCAUUUACAUCUACCCAAACCCAUUACAAAACCCAAAUAUUAAACCCAAUUCAAAAGCCCAUUAAGCCCCCCCCAAAAAAACCUAACCCAAAAAAAAAAAAGAAAAACCUAACCCUAAAAAAAAACCAAGAAACCCUAGCCACCUAGCCACUUUCCCACUUGCCCCAUUUUUCCUCCCAUUUUUUAUAUCCAUUGUCUACCACUACCACCUACAAAAUAGAAAAAAGAAAUAAUAGAAAAUCAUGUAAAAGAUGGCUAUAAAAAGCCAUUCAAAAUCAUGUAAGUGAGGGGAUUUUACAAAGAUUGAAAAAAAAAACACAAAAAUCCCUUCAAAUUUUGAACACAAAAGACACAUCAAUAAAAAGGUUGCAUCUUUUUCUUUUUUCCUCUUCUUUCGAAUCUUUUUUUUGUUGUUUUUUUUCUUUCUUUAUAUAUACAUAUAUUGUUAAAAAAAUUUUACCUUUUCCGGCCACCGUGGGCGGUGGCCAACGACGGGCGGCGACCGACGAUCGACCGGUGAUCGGCCCCCCUGGCCGGAUUUCCUUUCCCCCCUCCCUUCUCUCUUCUUUCCCCCUUUUUUUUUUAGGUAUUUUAUAUAUAUUAUGUAUAUAUUUUUUAAUGCCAUUAGUUAUAUAUUUCUUAUGUAUAUAUUCUUAAAUACUAUUAUAUACAUAUAUAUAUUUUUUAAAUACCAUAUUGUGUAUAUAUUAUUAUUACAAAUUAUUACUAUUGCUAGUAUUAUUAUAACUAUUAUUAUAUUAGUGUAUAUUUUAUGUACAUAUGUAUAUAUAUAUAUAUUUUUUUUGCACAUAUCAUUAUUUUAUAUUAUUGUUGUAAAUUUUUUAUGUAUAUAUUUUUUAUGUACGUUUCCUAAUAUUUUCUUUUAUUGUAGAUAUUAUUAUUAUUACAUACUUUUAUUAUAUGCAUAUAUAUAUGUAUUUUUAUGUACAUAUUAUUAUUUUAUAUUAUUAUUACCAAAUAUAUCAUUUUUCCUAUUUUAUUAUUAGUACAUGAUUUGUUUUUAUUUUGUAAAUAUCAUUAUUAUUGUUAUUCUAAUAUUCUAGUAUUCCAUGUUAAUAUUUUUCAUUAAUGAUAUCAUUUUUUUUGCGUCCUUUAUCUAUUUUUAAUUUCUCACUUUAGGAAUAUUUUUUCUCAUGUUUUAAUUAAUUUCAAAAAUAAGGCAAUGUACCGAUUUAAUAUUAAGCCAUCGAUUUCAUCGCUAUGUUGGGUGAAAUUCGUCGGCUUGUGUUAAAAAACGGGACACCCUUUCUAAAAAAAAAUCGAAAACUAAAAAUUCUCAUUUUUCAAUCGGAUCACGAUUAAAUAUUAUAUUGAACUCGUAUUUUUGAAAAUCAAGUCAACACAUGUUUAUGAGAUACCAAUUUUGGGCGUCGCGAGGGUGCUAAUACCUUCCUCACGCGUAACUGACUCCCGAACCCCAAUUUUUCUCUGGACUUUCAUGUAGACCUAAAUUUGGCCUUCUUUUUGUUUUAAAAUAAUUUUAUUAGGUGUCCGAUCACACCUAUAAAAAAGGAUCGGUGGCGACUCCCUUUGUUAAUAAAAUCGAAAGUUGGUUUUCAAAUGUUUAAUAAAUCGCCACAAUUAGCGACCAAGAGAAACUAAAUUUUUUUUACGUCGCUACAGCACUAACUUGUGUAUCGAUGAUAAUAUUUAGGCUUGUGUCAAGCUUGUGUAAUUGGUUGAUGUUUAUGCUUAUAUCUUGUAUUAUGUAAAUGAUACGGGUAAGAUGAAAUGGUAAGUUCAUAAUUGAUAUUUAUUAUGAUGAUAUAAAAGGAUGAUGAGUUAAAGAACUUACUUAUAUAUGAGAAAUUUACUUAUGCUAUAGAUGAAUUUACCUAUGUCAUGAAUAAACACACUAAUUCAUGAAUUGAUAAUGUUAUUUAAGUUUAUGCUAAGUAAAUGGAUCGAUUCAUCGUCUUAAGAAAAGGUUGUUGAUUAUGUAAUACAACUUAUAAGAUCUUAUUAUGUUAUGAAUGAAAAGUAUACAUGAUGUUGAGGGAUUUACUCAUUUGUCAGUUUAUGGUUAUAUAGUUUUAUAAAUCUUGUGGCAUUGGUAUAGGUUUAUAUUUAACCUAUAAAGUUCAUUAUUCAAAUGGAAUGUUAUGUUAAAAGUUUAUGCGAGCUUACUAAGCAUUCAUUGCUUACGUAGUUAUUUUUCUUUACUUUAUAGAUUAUCGGAAGCUCGAUCGGUUGGAAGCUUGUCGGAGAUCUAUCACACUAUCUAACGAUUAUAUCGGUAGUUUUGAUGUUUUAGCUAAAAUUAUAAUGGCAUGUACAGAAGAACUUGUUUCGAUAACUAAUUGGAUGUUAGUUGAUAAUGUUGGCAUGUAUAAGUUGUUUUGGUAACAUUCGAUGUCGAUUGGUUAGUGUCAUUUUGGUACUUAUUGAUGCCUUUCUAGGAUAUGUUAUUAUAGUUGGUAAACUUUUGGUACUUAUGGAACUUUUGAUACCUUGAUGGUAUGUGUCAUUACGGUUAAGAUAUAAUGCAUGAUUUAAAAGCCAAUAUGGUAUGUGUUGGAAUAGUUUUAUUGUGGUCAAAAUAUGGUAAGUUCUGAAAUGGUAUUGAUCUUGAUAGGUAUGUAUGAAAUGUGGUAAUGUUUCCAUGUGGUAAUGUUUCCAUGUUUAGGUAAGAUAUGGUUGAAUGCAUUUGAGGUGUCUUGUUCGCUUAUUGGUUGGAUGGAUUUUUGGUUCAUUGAAUUGGUUUUUUUAUGCUUUAAUUGGUUUGUUUAGAUGCUUUGGUUAAGGGUGCAAAUGACUUAUAGGUACAUGCGUGAAAUGGGUGAAGGAAAUGGCUUGAUUUUGGUCAAUUCCUUGUCCACGCGGCUUAAGACACGGGCGUGUGUCUCAUCCGUGUGUGACACACAGCCAUGUGAUAUGGUCAUGUGUCCCCUUGUAGGUUUUAAAGGUUUCAAGUCAAGCAGUUACAUGACCUAGCACACGGCCUGGUACACAGGCGUGUGAGGCCAUUUCGAGUGUUACAUGGCUUGGCACAUAGGCGUGUGGCUUGGCCGUGUAACCCAACUCAGAGAGUUACACGGGGUAUGGACACGAGCUAAGACAUAGCCGUGUGUCCUUACUUUGAUUGUUACACGGCUUGAAACACAGGUGUGAGUCUUAGCCAUGUGAGUCACAUGGCCUAGCCACAGGGCCAUGUGACCCCUACAGUUCAAAAUUUUUAACUUUAUCCUCAAUGUUUCAAAACAUUUCUGAUUUAGUCUCGAAUUGUUUCUAAAGUAUUUUUAAGGCCUCGAAGGAUCGAUUAAGGGACAGUAUGCAUGUUGAUGGAUGACUUACGCUAUGUUUAUGUUGAAGUUUGAAAUGUAUGUUUCAAAGUUAUAUUUUUUAUGGUAAUGUUCUGUAACCCUAUUCUGGCAACAGAUACUAGUUUGGAGGUGUUAUAAUAGUCUUUGUGGUGCACCCUAAGGAAUGACUAGAUUGGCGUAUUCAAAAUGACCCUUAAGUGUAAUCUGUAAAAUCAAUAAGGUGUAAUGCAUCCAUGGCCUAUACGGUAAGGUAUUAUAUGAGACUAUGGUUCGAUUAAAAAUAAUGAAUUGAAAAGAUGUAGAUAAGAAUGGGAUAGUAUUGGAAGCAUGUACUAAAUAAAGAUUUAUAAGUAUUCAAAUGGAAAAACAUGUGUGAUGCAUUGAAGACCUUAAUAGGAAAAGAAAUUAAUUUAGAAGGAGGCAUGAUAUCUAUGGUAUAUGAAUAAUAAAAUUUGAGAAAAGUAUUCGCCGAAGACAGGUUAAAGGGCAAGAACGAUAUGAUCAUCAUUUUGAUUCAUCGACUGUAAUAUGCAAUUAACAGAUAGGUAAAUGUUGUAACUUUCACUAAGUUCUUACAAACUUAUCUGUGUGUUAUGUUAUAGGUGAGUUGAUAUAGGUCUACGCCGGGAGGGACGAUACUGGGACUACCGCAAAAGAAAUGGCAUAUCGAGUUGUUAUGCAUACAGAGCGUGUAACAACCCAUUUUUGGUCAAACCAGAAUAGUGGUUUCGGGACCACAAACCUGAAGUCAGAAUAUUUAUUUUAUUAUUAUUCUAAUGUUUACAGCAUGUUGAAUGAUUGUGUGAAAUUUUCGUUUAAAAAUUUUAUCGUUUGAUUGGUCAAUUUGAUAAAAAAGACUAAAUUACGUAAAGUGCAAAAGUAUUGUUCUAUUAGCUAAAGGUAUCUAACAGCUAUAGAACUUUAAAUUGGAGGUCCAUAAGAGGUAAUUAGACCAUAGUGAGUUAGUGGACAAUUAUGAGCUUGGUUUUAUGGAAACUAUUAAGAUUUUUAAAGGUUAUGUUAGUAAAUUAGUUAUUAACGAUUAAAUAAAUGAAAUAAAAAUAUGUAUCAUCUUUUUAGUCUUCAUCUUCAACCGAUUCUAGGGCUUGAAAAGCCAUUUUCAUUCCUUUUCAUUUCGCCAAGCUUCCUAGCUCAAUUGUAAGUCCAUUUUUGUCCCGUUUUUAAUGAUUUCUACAUUUUUGAGAUUGUUGUAGCUUAUUCUAGCUAGCCCAGGGACUAAUUUGCAAAACUGUUAAAGAUUUUGAAUGAUGUCAUUGACGAAAUAGCAUGUGUUUUGAAGUUUCGUGAUAGAUUAUGAAUGCUUGUUGAUAGAUAUACAAGUUUUGUUAAGUGAUUUUUAGUGAAAAUGCAAAUUAAGGAUUAAAUUGUGAAAUGUGGAAACUUUGUGGUUAAAAUGUGUAAUAAAUGAAAAAUAUGGGCUGCUAGGGGCAUAAUAGUAAUUCACUAGGCUUGGGUUGUGAUGAAAUUGAAUGAAUUUUGUUUUAUGAGCCUAGGGACUAAAUUGUAAAAGUGGUGAAACAUUAGGGGAAAAUGUGUAAAUGUGCUUAAAUGUGUGUUUUGGAUUAAAUUGAGUAGAGAGAUUAUUAAAUAAGUUAAUUUUGAAUAUAUUUAGAUCAUGAAAAGUGAAUUUUGGAUCUAGAUCAUGGGAAAACUAAAGUUAUCGACUAAUCGACCUAUUUUAUCGUUUUCACAUCUGAAGUAAGUUCGUAUAUUAUAAGUUUUGAUAUAAAUGUAUUUCAUAUGCUUUGAUAUUGCAUAAAUUUUCAAUACGAGACUAUAGAUAUGAUCGAUAGUGAUUCGACGAUGAUUCGACAUUCGAAAUCCUGGUUGAACAUUAGGAAUAGUUUAGGAUACUAGUGACAUGUCAUUAGAGGAUACAUUGAGUUGGCUUCGGGCCAUGAUAUUAGUACUUCGGGUGCGAGUUAUACUGAUUUGGCUUCGGGUCAUGAAUAUCGACUGAUUUGGCUUCGGGCCAUGAUAUAGGUACUUAGUGUGUGAGACUCUUGAGUAUCCGACUUCUAUUCCAAAUGGUUCAACGGGUAAACGAAAGAUGUGAUUGAGUAUGAGAAUGAUAUGAGACAGUACAGGUAUGUACGUGACAUGUAUAAGCUUUAGUUCGAAGAAACUUGUGAAGAAUGAUAUUAAUAUCAUAAUUGUGUAUACAAAAGGUUUGUUAGCUAAUAUAUGCUAAAUGUUGAUGUAGUCAAAUUGUUUAUUUAUAAUCUUGAGAUUGAAUUAAGUUUAUGAUAUACGAGCUUACUAAGCUUUAUAGUUUACUUUGUUUAUUUUUCCCAUUUUUUAUAGUGUUAUCAAGCUAGCUCGGAUUCGGGAAUCGUCUGAGAUCGCUUCACACUAUCCACCUAUCAAUUGGCACCUACGAACUUUGGUAUUUUAGGUAUAUGACAUGUAUAGGAACUUUGAGUCAUUUUGGUAUAUGUAUUUUUAUAAAUUUGGCCAUUUGUGUUGGCUUAUAAAUAUUAUGUACAUAAUGUUAUUUAUGGCCAUGUAAGUUGACCUAUUUGGCUUAGUUGGUGAUGUAUAUAUAUGUGUGUGCUAAUGCCAUUUUGUGAUGUGGUUUAUAUUGCUUGGUGAAGGGUUGAUUGUGGAUUAUUAGUUUGAAUAGCUAAUGGUUGAAUUUCAGAUUUGUAUGCUUGUGGUUUUAGGCUAAGAAAUGCUUAGUUGAAAUGAUACGUAUGAAUGCUUUGGAAAUGUGAAUUGGUAUAAUUGAAUAGGCAAGAAUAUGGUAUUAUAAGCAUGAUAAAUGUUGUCAUUGAAAUUGUAUACAUUUUAUUCCUGAUUGUGGUUAUUUUGGUUGUUUAUAAAUGCUUUAAAUUGUGCAUUUGGUUUGAUGUAGAUGUGUGCCAAAUUUGGGGUGGCAAAAUGACUUGGUAAAUAGCCUAUUUUUGUCCACACAGGAAGAGACACGAGCGUGUGUCUCAGCCGUGUGUGACACACGGUUAUGUUACAUAGUCGUGUAUCCCCUGGUGUUGAAUUAGAAAUCAAGUCAGUAUGCUCCAUACGGCCUCACACACGGGCGUGUGACUUGGCCAUGUGGCAUAAGUCAGUAUACACUAUAGGUUUGGCACGGUCUAGCACACGGCCUAGCACACGGACGUGUAUGACCAUUUUUAGGGCACACGAGCUGGCCACAUGAGUGUGUGUGUUGGUCGUGUGAGACACACGGCCAGGCCACACGCCUCUUUUUGAGAAAAUUUCUUAAGUGUUCAAAACGUUUCCUAAGUUAUCAGUUUAGUCCCAAACCACUCCCAAAGCAUGUUUAAGGCCUCGCAAGCUCGUUAUAGGGACAUUGUGAUUGAGGUUGAAUAAUGUUUUCAUGAAAUGUGAAAUUUUAUGUAAAUUGAAUGUUUAAAUGUUUUAGAAGCCUGGUAAUGCUCCGUAACCCUAUUCUGGCAUUAAAUAGGGGAGAGGGGUGUUACAGAGCUUGUUUGGUGGCAUGUUCAAAGUAUGAAAGAAAUCCAUAUUUUGGGAUGGCUUUUAUAGAAUAGGAUCUCAAUUCAGAUAUUUUUUGUAAUUAAAUUACCACAUGCUGCAGUUGCAUUUACUUAUUGUAUAUACAUAUGUAAAUUAGUUCGAGUUUGUCUGAAGUUAAUUUGUAAUUAAUUGAAAAUUGUAUAAGUAGAUUAAAUUUUUGUCUAUACUAGUGUAGUAAUACCUAAAAUUCAGAUUUAGCAAAUUGAAUCAGGUUAGGUGUGUUACAUAUAUCACGUAUUCAUACAUAUGAAAUAUGCAUAUGGUUCGUAAAAUAAGAUUGUGCAUAAUCUUGGUAUUUGGUACAUAAAAGGUAAUUGAAAAGGUUGAAACUUGAUCAUACAUUGAUUAUAUUAUUUUCAUGUUAAUGCUUUCAUUUAUAUUAAUUUGAAUCAUGGAAGUACAACUGAGCUUUAUCGCUCAACGUACUAUUUUUUUAUUCUAUGCACAAGUAUUAGUAGAUCUUAAAGACUCGAGACUUGAUCUAGCAUCCAAAUUGAAACUUUUGACUAAGAAAUGUUCAUACAGUUCUUUAUGUUUCAAUACGUGGCAUUUACCCAAGAUGGAAUCGGUUUUAAGUGGUAAAUUUUCGAUUUUGUAUUUUGGAUAUAAUGGUUAUUUUAAUUUAUGGUACAUGAGUUAUAUAUAAUAUAUAUGUAUGUAGCAUAAGAUUGAAAUGUUUAAUUUAUGUAAAUGAGCAUAUAUGAGUUUUAAAAAGCUAUUGUCUUAUAGAAAUUUGAAUAUUUUAUUGGCACGGAUCACAAAAGCUUUAGUAGUGGGGGAGCAGUUUUAUUUUGGAGUAAAAAUGUCAGGUGCAAUGUCAUUUCUAUUAAUGAAAACAUCAUUUCUUGCUACAUAGAGGACAAUAACUUAAAAACCUAGAUUUCUUACAUUUAUGGGAAACCUAAACUGUGUGGAAGACAUAAUGUUUGGGAACAGCUCAUGGAUUUCUCCAAAAUUGUUAAAGAUAGUGAAGAUUGGAUAGUAUUGGGUGAUUGCUAUUGGGUCAUUUGGUACAAAGACAAGUUCUCUAAUCUUUCUAACGAUUUAAAAGGAGCUUGAGAUUUACUGCAAUACCUUGAUGAUUACUUCCUCUUUGAAAUACCUUUUAAGGACUCCUAUUUCACUUGGGCAAACAAUCAGCAACAAAAUUAUGUUGUUUAGGAAAGACUUGACAUGGCAUUUCUUAACAAAUACUAUUUUAAAAAUUGCACAAACAUCUUAGUUUUCAAUCUACCGGUUGUUUUAUCUAAUCAUGAACCUAUGAUUGUUUUUACAAACAAAAUGUAUCCUUUCCAGAAAAGAUGCUAAGGGCAUGUUUGGUUCAAUGUAAUGGCUAUGACAUUACAAGAUUGUUCUACAGGCCCACACAAACAACUGUUUGGUUCAAUGGAAUACUCUAUUACGGGUGUAUUACAUUCUGGUCUUAUGCAGGGAAAUUUGGUGAUUUUUAUUCCCUCCCCUCUUCUCCAAUUACUGAUUCGAUGCUUGAAGAACCUUAUCUUACCCGCACUAAAUUCUCACCUCAAAAACACUCAAACGACAAUCAUUCCUUGCUUCCUUCAACUCUAGCACUCUUCCCCUUCAUCCAGCGUCCUUCAGGUAAAUAUUUCUCCUUCCUGUUGUUCCUUUCAUUUUCCUCUCUGCCAUUUUUUCUUACCCACAAAAUUUUUUUGCCUCUUUUUAUUAUUGCUUACUUCACCAUUUCUGUCUCUGUUGUUAGUCUUCUUCCCUUCCUGGAUCUAAAUUUUUAUCCUACCAGGCUUUCAGUAAGUUUACCCUUUCUACCCCAUUUUUUUUAUCUGCCUAAAAAUUCAUUUGUAUUAAAUUUUGGGUUUUUUUUUAAAUUUUAAGUUGUGAUUAUGGGUGGGUGUUUUCCUUGUUUUGGAUCAUCAAACAAGGAAAACAGUAAUGGUGGGGGCAAUAUGAAAGAACUAGCAAAAAGGAUUCAACUAAAGACAACACAAUUGGACAGCCUCAUCAUGUUAACAGAGUUAAUUCAGGUAAAUUUUUUUUUCUUUUUGUUACCCAAUUCACUCUGUUUUAUGCAUCAGCUGGAGAAUGUUGAAAUCUCUAUUUUUUUUAUGAGUUUGUUUUCAAGUUUUUGAUGACAUUUAGCUGUUAGAUUAUGUUGUUGGUUUGGUACGAUACAUCUAUGGUUGUUCUAGGGUGAUUGAUCGAUUUAGAUGGUUUAUCGAUAUAUCUUUGAGUGUUUUAGGGCGGCUAUCUAUCUUCAUUUGAAGGUAUUUGCUAAAUCUUGUGACAUUUUUAGUUGAUAAUUUUCUACGCCUUUUAUGCUCUGUUUGGAAGAUUUUAAUCUAAUUCUAUUAUUCUUGAACAUUAUUGGGUCUAGUUGGCGCACUUUGAUGAUCUAGUCUGAUGAAUGAGUUUCAAUAUGUUCAUUUGUGCUACUUCUAGUUUCAAUACAUUAGCUCUGUUAAUCUUAGUUUGAUCUGAUGUCAAUGUAGUUAGUUAUUUCUUUGCUACUCGUGGAUUAGUAAAAUAGCUUGAUCUAUUAAUUAUUGAUGCUCUUGAGUAAAUUCAGUUUGAUAAAUGGAUUCGAUCUGGUGUGGAAUCUACUAUCUUGGAUCAGAGUAGCUCUUGAAUUAUUUUCUAUUGCUCUUUAUUUGCUCAAUAGUUUGUUUCUUUGGAGCUUAUUGUUACUCAAGGUACUAAGAUUUCUUUUGAAGGAUUCACACGCACUAUGUGCUUGAGAUCUCAAUAGAUGAUCUUCAAAGAGAACGUGUUCAUUGGGAUCCACUAAUUCAUACUUCAUGUGGUGCAACAUUGCACGAUCAUGUUUCAUCAUCUAAUUAAUGUCAAAAGUUCGAAUAUGUAAGGUGGAUCUAUUUCUAGACCAUCUUAUAUAUGGUAUGGUCAAUGAAAACAAAAAUGCUAAGUUAUUAAGGUGUCUUUACUAGAUUUAGUUGGUAUUGCUGUGUGUGAAAAGCUAGUAUUCUAACAGUCUAGCUUCCAUGUUUUUGGUUCUAACUCUAACAAACUUAGUUAUGUUGGUGAAAAGUUAAUUACUCAAUUUUGAGGAGUAAGAAAUUGUAAAACCUAGUGGCCUGAACUUUCCUAGUUAGGUAUCUUGUUGUACCAUUAAUAACUAGGAAUUUGAGAUAUAGUGACUUCCACCCACUUUUUGAAAAGAUUACAAGUAGGAUUAAAAGUUGAUUCUCUAUGGACAGUUGCAUGGGAUGCUUUGUGACAUGUAAAUUGGUUUACUUUAUGAAGAAAAAAAUAAUAUCCCCACGAUAGAUUUCUCUAGGACGAAAAAAAUAAAUUAUCUUUCUAGUCUUGUAUUUGAGAUUAAGAUUCCAAGGAUAAGCCAAAUUAAUUUCAUUCGAUUUAAAACAACAAUUGAAAUGAUUAAAUUAUAUACAUAAUUAAAAUACUUAAACCCAAGCCCAUAUCCAAGCAUUUUACUUUUUAAGUCUAAACUUGAAAUAAACCCAAAUAAGUAAUUAAAUGUUCUUUCAAAAAAAAUUAAACUCACCAAUUUAAAUCUAAAUAGGGCAUAUUUGAAGGGUUUGUAAUUUGAUUUAUUUUUAUAUAAAUUAUAAAUUAGCCAUUUGACACAUUAGUCAAAGACACUUUUGCCACUAUCCUUUUAUGGUGGUUAUAAGAUUAAAAUUAGCUUCGCAUCCCACCAUCCUUAAUCACCUAGGUUUGAAUCCCGCCGUACAUGGCUACCAUGUGUAUAUUUAAUUAAUUAAAAUGUGAGGAUGAAUACAAGCUUUUUAAAAGGUAAAUUAAAUACCAAAUUUUUAAAAAAAUCAUAUAAUAUAUGUAUACUUCUAUAAAACUAGAAAUUAUGCAAUUUGGAUGUGGAUUUAUUUCAACUUUAGAUGUUUAUCAUUAAUUUUUCUUUUAAAACAACUAUAAUUUAUGUUCAAGACAUUAUAAUUUGCUAAACAAAGAGUCGAUUUUGUUGAAUGAACUUUGAUAAAUAAAUGAAUUUCAAGUUUCUUACUUGCAAAGAUAGUUGUAAUUUCUAUUUUGUGCUUUGCAAAGAUUCUUUAUAUGUAUUGUUCAUUUUUCUUUUACUGUGUGUUAUUGCUUCCUCUUCUUCUUUGGCUUGCUUGAUUGCUUCCUUCACCCACAAUUGAGCUUCUUGUAUUCACUAAAUCACUGUAAGUUCUUUGGCAAUUAAUUUUUUUGAUUUUGUUUUACUGUUAUUGAAAUUAGUAUUGAAGAAAUGUGAUCAUUUUACUAUGAUUUGAAGAUAUGUAACACUUUAAUAUCUUGCAAUAAUGGUUCGUCUGCCUUUAAUAGUACAAAGUGAGAGGCAUAAAAGAAUUGAUCUUACAUUGAUAGUAUGGUUGCAAAUGUGUACAGUUGCGAGUUGAUUCUUAGUUACAUUGGGUGUCAUCCAUAGCCUACAUACUUAUAGACUAAGGAUUAGAUCAUAUAUUUUAGAUUUUUAUGCAAAACUAGAUUAUGUGAAAAGACUUGUAUAUGUUAGUGACGAGACAUGUAUUGAACAAGUUAAGAUGACUGGAAUUACCUUUUUUAAACUAUGUGAGAUGUUACAAAUUUUAGGGGGAUUGAAGUCAUCAAGGAACAUGCUUGUUGAUAAGAAAGUGGCAAUUUUUACAUAUCAUUUCUCAUCACCUUAAAAAUCGAGUUUUCAGGCAUCACUUUAAUAGGUACGGGGAAAUCGUUAGUAGAUCAUUUCACAAUAUUUUAAAUGCUGUCAUACGCUUACAAGAUGUGUUAUUUAAAAAGGCAGAGCCAAUAACAACUAAUUCUACAAACCCAAUGUGGAAAUGGUUCAAGGUAUUGGAGUGAGUUCGAUAUAUAGCUCGUACAUAAUUUAGUUGAUUUAAAUGUAACACCCUUAACCCCUCUUUGUCGUCGAAUUAAGGUUACGAGUAUUACUGUACGAUUAAAAUAUUUAUAUUUAAUUUCACUCAAUAUCGUAAACAGAACCUAAACCAUUCAUACACACCCAUAUCGUCCCUAAAUCAGGCCCUCAAGGCCCUAAAAAUACUUUAGAAACAAAUUAGGACUGGUUUGAAUUCAUUUGAAAACCUUAAGAAAAAUUCACAAAAAUUUGAAAGCAGGGGUCACACGGCCGUAUGCCUCACAUAACUGAGACGCAUGCCCAUGUCUCAGGUAGUGUAACAAUUGAAAUAGGGACAUAGCUGUAUCCCAGCCUAUGUCCUUGCUCGUGUAACAUUUGAACUUGAGACAAACGACUGUGUCUCAGCCCGUGUAACUCACUAAGUAGGGUUACAUAGCUGUGUCACACGUCCAUGUGUCAGGCCAUGUAACUCUCAAAAUAGCCCUACACGUCCAUGUACCAGGCCGUGUGCUAACUGAAAUGCACCCUAAGCACUCAUCAAGCGACACACAGCCGUGUCACUAAGCCGUGUGUCUCACACGGCCAAGUCACACGCCCGUGUGUCUGGCCGUGUGGACCCAAAAUAUACCUUAAACAACAAGUUUAUCAUUUCCUACUUUCUUGGGCAUUAAGCAACUCAAAAACCAAUCAUUUAACCUUCACAAAAUACGAUGAACAUACUCAAAACAUACCAAAACAAUCAUCUUAGGUGCCUAACUAAUGUAUCCUCAUUGGUACCACAUUUUAUAUCAUCAAAACAUAUCAACAAUGCAUCAUUUAAAUCAAGAUUUUAAGUAUGCCAAAAUCACUCAAUUUAGCCUAACAUAUAACUAUCUAAAACAUCAAACUUAAGUUCACAUACACCUAACAAGCAUUGGUUUAAAACUACAUGCCAAUUUAUGGCUUCAAACACAAACAUAUACUUAUAUUCUCAAACCAACAUUACACUUAUAACUCAAUUUACAAUCCAUUCACAAAAUAACUAUCAAUUAAGACAUCUUAGGUACAUGCCCUUACAAAAAGUAAACAUCACCACACUUGAGAUCGGGAGCACUGUUGGAUGCUAAGCCUAUGAUCAAAAGAGAAGUACCUAAUCUGCACAAAGAAAACAAAACCACACGAUGAGUAAAACUCAGUGAUAUUUCUAUAAUCCGAACAUUGACAUAAUGAUACAGUAAUAUUCAAAUUGAAGUAUACAACAUACCAUUGUCUAAGCUUACAAUUACAAGAUAUCAUUAUUUCAAAUUCAUACAUAUUACCAUAUCAUUUCAUACUAUACUUAAUUUUCACAUGUUAUCAUAUUGGAUUUGUUUAACAAUAUCUCAAUUUACAUCACUUGCUAUAUAAAUAAAUUUUCACAUAUCAAUCCACAUUUCAUUUAUACAAUGACGUUAUUCAUUACAUAUUCAAUUCAUAAGUACAUAACUCAUUUACUUCAUUUGUUCAUAAUAUAUUUCACCUUUCAUUUUUCAAUUCACUAUCUCAUUUCCAUUUCACAUACCAUGCCAUUUCAAUAUCAAUUAUAAAACUUUAUUAUUUAUUUACCCUUAUUAACACGACUUGGACUUGGACCGAUACACAGAUCCAACCAACACACCAGUUUGGCACCCAGUACCUCAUCGACUCGAAGCCAAAGAAAUUAGUGAACUCUUCCUAUCCUAUGGCAUUCCAACCAUAUCCAACUCAGCCCGAUACAGUUAAUAGGGUUUCAUUUCAAUCUUUAAAAACAACCAAUAUCCAAUUCUCAUGUUUGCACAUUAUCAUAUUUCAACAUAUAUUCAUUUCAGUUUCCAAAUACUCAAUACAUUUAUAACAUAUACCAAAUCAAUCAAAUUCAAUCAACUAUGAAGUCAAUUCAAUUGUAAAACAAAAUAAUUCUCACCUCCAAUGCUUACCAUUUGCAAUAAUUCAAAAUGCAAUAAUUUACAACUUAGUUCAGAUUAUUGAAAUACAAAUCGUGGAUUCUGAGCUAUUCAACGUUGAUUUUAUCCUUCUUUUUUUUAGCUGAGGAUUUCGAUAUGACAUUAGCUACGGAAUUAAAACAAUUAAAAUACAAUAAUACUACACAAUUCGAUUCCACAUUGAAUAUUUCAAUUUUUACACAAUAUUUGCUUAAAUUUCAGUUUAGUCUUUAAACUGAGACUAAUUUUUAAUCUUCAAAUUAAAUUUUAUAUUUUCAUUCUCAUUUCACUUUAAACUAAAUUUAACUCCCUAUUUUUAAUUAUACCAUUAAAUUUUAAAUUUUUCACAAUUUAGUCCCUAUUACUCAAAAUCAGGAAUUACUUCACUAUUUAGUCCUUUUUCACUUUUAACUUAAAAUCUAUCAAUUUAAUCCCUAAUACUUAACCUAUACAACAAUAGUAACAUCUAAAAUUCUAAACAAUACUUCAAAUUGCAACACGGGUUGGGUAACCCUAAGAUCGGGAUUUCAAAAACGUAAAAAUUUUAAAAAAAAUGGAUUAAAUUACACUAACCAAUUUGAGCUUGAACUCCUAAGUCCCUAAGCCGUGUGUAUUUCCCUUCUUUUCUUUCUUUUUUCUUUUACCUUUAAUUUGCAUGUUACCACUUUCUUUUUAUUAUUAUAACUUUUAUUAUUUCUUAUUAUAAAAUAACAUAUGUGUAAAUAUACAUUUCAUAAUAAUUAUUAAUAUAACAUAUAUAUCAUACAUGCUAAUGCCGUCCACUAACCUUAGGUAAUCGGAUAAUUGUAACGCCCCAAUUUUCUGGAAUUCUGUGAAUGUUAGCAUAGGUUUAAUUAUGUUAGUGGGCCUCUAGAAGGCCCAAUCUUAAGAUAGAACCCGGUAAUUUUAGUUAAUUUUUGUUCCAUAAGAAAAAUGGAGUGAAAUUAUGAAAUAGGACCUAUGUGAAAAUGUUUGAAAAUGCUAUAGGCUAAUUUGUAGUGGCCAAAUAAAUAGGAGUGCAAAAUAGGAGGAUUUGCAUGACAAACCUCCCAUUUUACAUGAAGUGGCCAGCCAUCAUGUUGUUGUAGACAAUAUGAGCACUUGAUAUUCAUAAUUCAUGGUACAAAUUGAUAAUGGGUUAGGUAAAUGUUCCAUGAUAAUAGAUUAGGUAAAUAUUCCAUGAUAAUGGGUUAGGUAAAUGUUUCAUGAUAAUGGUUUAGGUAAAUGUUCCAUGAUGGGCAUUUCAUGUCUUUUGUAUUAAAGAAUUAAAUGGAUAAAAUGUGAAAUUUUAUUAAAAUAAAAAGGGGUGAAAAGAACAAAGUUUUGUCCAUCUUUGUUCAUCAUAGCCUAAAGUUAGAGAAGAGAAAGGAGAGAAGAAAGCUCUUGAAUGUUCAGUCACUUGGGGAAGAAAAUUGAAGGUAAGUUCAUGGUAGUUUGCUUCUAUCUUGAUGUUCAUGAGUUCUUCUUGAUUCUACCUUAACUCUUGAAGCAUAUUUUGGUUUUUAGUUGUGCUGUGAGCAUUUGGUCAUGAAUUAAAAUGAAGGAAAUGGUUGUUGUUUCAUGUUCUUUUGAUAAAAAAUGGAAGAUAGGUGAAGUUGAGCCAAACAAAUGAACAUGCAUGUGCCUUAUAUGCUAAAGGGAAAAAUCGGCUAAAAUGUUGUGCUUUAAAAUGAUGAAAUGGAGAUUAUACUUAAGUAAAAUCAUAGAUAUGUGGUGAUUGAUUGGUGAUAUACAUGUUUAAAUAACAUGCAUGCAAGGUAUGCGUGAAAGAGUGAUUUGGUAAUAAAUCUGCUUGGGAUAGCAGCAGUAACGUGACUUUGGAAAAUCACCAUAAAUUGUGGGAGAUGAGUUAGAAGCUGCAUAAAUUAUGUAAUUAAAUAUUAAUGAGUCUAGUUUCAAAUGAAAUAAACAAGAACAUAUUUUGAAUUCUGUACAAUGAGAAAUUUGAUUCGUAAUGAAGAGUGGUCAGAUUUGUCAAACAGUGAAACAUGUGAAACUUUGAGAAAAGUUUGGUAUUGAUUGGCCAAACAAAAAAUUCUGAAAAUUUUAUGGAUAUAAGAUAUAUGAGUCUAUUUUCAGGGAAAAUUAACGGCACUUGAUUUGGAGUUUAGUAGCUCUAGUUAUAAAUGAUUUAGUGACUGUUGCUCAGGAAGACAGGUUGCAGUGAAAUUAUGAUUAUGUGGUAAACAUUGACAAAAAUUUGUUAAUGAGUUACUUAUUGAUUUUCUUAUAAGCUUACUAUGAUCUGUAGGUGUGGUUGGCCAAAUAUUGUAAGGGGUUAAUACGUAGUUUGUAUUUGAAUAGUUAGAUUAACGUGUUAGUAAUCCAAUUGUAGGCAGUUCGUGUGUGGAUCUCGUCAGUAUAUCUUCGCAAACAGGUGUGUAACUAACACCUUCUUUCUUAGUCUAGAUCGGUAAAAGUCGAAAAGCCAAAAUGCUGAAAACCGGUAUUCUGUAGAUUUGCGAGUGUGCGAAUGCUCGUGAGGUAAAUCGAUUAAUGUUUUUGGUAAGCUGCAAUGUUUGGACUGUAAAGUGCAUGAUUUCUGUGCCCUCGAUAUUUUUGGGCUUAAUGGGCCAAAAUUGGAAUGAUGGGCCAACAGGCCCAAUUCGGUAAGAACCCUCGGUAGUGAUUCUGUUAGUAUGUGAAAGGUAAGAAUAUGCAUGAAAAACCCUAAAAUAGAUAAAUUACUGAAAUACCUUUAAAAGUGGAAAAUUUACAGUUUUACCCCUAGUAGAUAAAUUAUCGAAAUACCCGUAGGGUUAAAUUGACCUAAAUGCAUGUUUGACUGUUGUUAUUUACUGCAUGCCAUGUUGUUAUUAUCUGAUGCAUGGGAUUGGGAUAUUGACGGAGGAAGUACUGAAAGUGGCUUGUCCACAUACUGGAGGCUUUGCCUCAAUUUACUGUUAACUGAGCAGCAAGGCUGCAACUGUGGAGUGUUGGGCUGGGUGGGUUGAGCUAUUCCCCACAUGGAGUGUAUGGCUGGUACGGGUGGAGUGUAGUGGUUGGUGGGUUAAGUAGUCUCCCCAAAUGGGCUCGCAUAUGUUUACUGAUGUUGCAUGUAUUUUGAAAUGGGCCUAUGGGCCAUACUGUUAUCUGAAUAAGGGGCUAAGGCCCAGUUUAUUGUAAUCUGAAAAGGGCUCUGGUCCAGUACCACUGUUACCUAAAUGGGCUAAUGCCCAAUAGGCUUGAGCUGACUUAGGCUUUGAAUGGGUUUUCCUUACACACUGAGUUUCCCCAAACUCACCCCUUUUAUUUUCAUCCACGCAGGAAAUCCCCAACCAUAGUGGGCUUGGAGCUGUGAGGGAAUUCGGAGUGGCCACCCGUUCUGAAAGUUUGAUUUUCUUCUGGUGAACUGGACAUCCUUUUAUUUACGUUUGAAGUUUUUGGGCUUUUAAAUGUAAUAAGGCCGCUUAAUUAUUUUUGAUAGUUUUAAUAUGUAUUACUAAGAUAGGUAAUAAGUAUUUUAACUGUUGAAAUUGGAUAGCUUUAGGGCGUGUUUUCAAAAACAACAAUUGAUUUCAAAAUAACACGACAAUAAGCAAAGCUUCCGCAAUGAAAGUAUUUUCCAAAAUUAAUCACUUUUCCUAAAAAUGACUUAAUCAAAUCGGUUUCCUAGAAAUAUCCAUGACGUUAAGGUGUGGCAAUGGCGGUAUGCAUGUCUAAGAUUAGAUCCGAAGGGAGCUUGGUACUUAAGCAGUCCGGUGGACUCACCACCUCUUUUUCGGUUUCCUACCUGGUGCACAGCUUCCAUUCACUUUAACCUUUAAUGAAUUAAUCUUUUGAACAUCAAGUACGAUUUUCUGGACUUAGAAUGGAAUUUUUUUUUAUGUUUUUGAUGUGGCAUGCCGGAUCCGGCCAUAACUUCUGGGCCGGGUUUGGGGUGCUACAUUUAGUGGUAUCAGAGCCUAGAUUGCAACAACUCGGCUGUGGAAUGGGUUUACAAAAACAAAUAUUUUCGAAAGCGAAAAUUUUAUAAAGAAUUCGAAAAACUCGAUUUUCGAAAUUUAGAUCUUUAGAAGGUGGCAUUCCGAAUCUCCGGCUCAAGUCUGUAAGUAUUCUGAAUUUUUCUGAAUAUUUUCCUGAAUUAUCUGUCUGUACUAAAAUCCUGCUAGGAUACUCUAGAUAGGAUGAUACUGAAACCAUAGUAAAAUCUGAUAAGAGACUGAAACUGUAGCUAGACUUCGAUUCUGCGAAAACAAACUUUGAACUACUGUCUGAUUCAUAAAACAUCUGUAAUAAACACUGGAAUAUUAAUUGAUGCAUAAAAAUUCGUAAUCAAGAUAAUACGAUAUGAGUACAAGAGGCCGUGGACGGAGCCGAGGAAGUGCUCGAGCGAGAUCUUCAUCUUCGAGACAUAUGCCGGUGGUGGAUGCACCGGUACCACCGGUAACAAAGGUAGAGUCUCAUGACCGCGGUGCCGAGGAUGAUGCCCUGUCACAGGCAAUGUGCAUAAGGCGACCCUAGAUUGUGUUGCUAAACGAAUGGUGUUAAGGACCACAAAGGAUGAGGAGGUUAUGGUGAUAGGUGAGCGAAGGGAUUAUUUGUCCAAUGUGGUGUCGGCAUUAAGGGCCGAAAAGUGGAUUCGGAAAGGUUGUGAGGUCUAUUUGGCAUUUGUAAGUUAGUCGAAAGAGGAGGGAUUGACAGUGGAUAAGAUUAGGACCAUAAAGUAGUUCCAAGAUGUUUUUCCGAAGGAGCUUCCAGGAUUGCCUCCGAACCGAGAAGUGGAGUUUAGAAUCGACUUAUUGCCUGGAACAGCACCAGUGUCUAUCGCACCAUAUAGAAUGGCACCGAAGGAGUUGGUAGAGCUAAAGGCACAAAUUCAAGAGUUGUUGGAUAGGGGCUUCAUUAGGCCAAGCGUGUCUCCGUGGGGAGCACCGGUGCUAUUCGUGAAAAAGAAGGAUGGUACGAUACGGAUGUACAUUGAUUAUCGCCAGUUGAACAAACUGACGAUUAAAAAUAAGUAUCCACUGCCAAGGAUUGACAAUCUGUUUGACCAGCUUAGAGGGGCUUCUGUAUUUUCUAAGAUCGACCUCCGAUCUGGAUAUCAUCAGUUAAGGGUUAAGGAGGCGGAUAUCCAUAAGACGACAUUCAGGACUCGGUAUGGUCAUUACGAGUUUUUGGUUAUGCCAUUUGGACUGACGAACGCUCCUGCAGCAUUCACUACAGGAAAAUAGGGCUUUAACGGCGUUUUAUCAAAAAACGCCGCAAAAAUUGUAAAACACAGAGCAAUAGCGGCGUUUUGACAAAAACGCCACUAAAAAUUGAGCAAUAGCGGCGUUUUUUGUUAAAACGCCGCCAAAAACAGAGCAUUAGCGGCGCUUUUGGUGAAACGCCGCUAAAGACCAGAGCAUUAGCGGCGCUUUUGGUAAAACGCCGCUAAAGACCAGAGCAUUAGCGGCGCUUUUGGUAAAACGCCGCUAAAUACCAGAGUAACUCCUAAAAUCUUAAACCCCAAAAAAACAUAAAACACUAAUCUAUAACCCUUAAAUAGUAAAGCCCUAAACACUAAACUAUAACCCCUAAAACCCUAAACGCCACAAUAGGUGCAUUUUUAGUGGCGCUAGGUUAUAAACGCUGCUAAUGUUAAAUUAUUUUGUUCAAAACUUCGUUGUUUAGCUGUCUUAUUUUUUACCCACACCUGAUACACUUAACAUUUUUCCUAUUUUUCCCCAGUUCUAUUUCCCCCUUCUUCCUCAUCCUAAAUCCCUAAAGUAUUAUCACCCAUUCCCAAAUUCGACAUCCUAAAUCCCUAACGAAUUUAUGGUAAAGUAACAGAUUAAAUAAGGUCUUAUUUUUAUUUUGAAUUUGAUUUAUUUUGAUCAUAUCUAAAACCGACUUUAUAAACAAUAUAAAUUAACUAGACCAUUCACUUAGCUAUGGGAAAGUUAAUUUCAUUUUAGUUACUUAAUCAUGAAAAGUUACACUUUGAUAACUAAACUAUUUAAUUAGAAGUUUCCAUUUAAUUAAGUUACGAAGCUAUUAAAAACAAUGUUAUGGCUUUCUUUAAACCCUAACCCCUUAAAUCAAUAAUCCUUUAACCCCCAAACCUUAAAUCUCUAAUCAUAAAUCCCUAAAACUAUAAACACUAAUCAAUGUUAUGGAUAUUAAGUAUAUAUAUGUUCAUGGUCUAGGAUUUAGGGUUUAUGGUUUAAGAUUUGGGGUUUAAUUUUUAGUGUUUAGGGGUAAAUAUGGUGAACUACUUAACUUGUGUAUACUGGAUUUUUUUAUAAUAUAAAUCUAAAUAAGAUAAAUAUAAAUUAUUAUUUUUACAAAAUAUAUAUAAAAAUGGGUUAAAUCCCAAAAGCAUACGUGAACAAUGGUUUAAUGUGCAAUUGUAUACAUGCAUGAACUUUAAUUUGAUCCAGUUCUUGUAAAUUAUUAACACAAUUAUAUUGCAUAUAUAAAUAUUUAUAUUUAUUCAAUAUAAAAAUAUAUUGAUGUAUUUAUACUUAAAAGAAUAAUACUUGUAUUGCUUUGUCAUUUUGUAUUUUUUUAAUUCAUCGAUUCCAUUUUAUUUCUAUUAAAGUUUCCUUUUGUGUUUUAUAUGUUAAUUUAAAAAUUAUAACAAUAUUCAAAAAAAUUUAAAAUUUAAAAAUAAAAAAAUAAAAAAUAAAAAAAUUAAAAUUUAAAAUUUAAAAAUAAAAAACUUAAAAAUUUAAUAUUUAAUAUUUUAAUUCAUAUUUCAGUUAAAAAAUUCAAUAUUUAAUAUUUAAAAAUAAAUAAAAAAAUGUUAAAAAUAAAAAAAAUGUUAAAAAUAAAAAAAAUUAAAAUUAAACAAUAGUGGCGUUUUUACUAAAAAUGCUGCAAAAGAUUAAGCUAUAGUGGCGUUUUUUUAUGAAAACGCCGCAAAAGACCAAUAAUUUUUGAUUACCCGCCGAUUAUUCCCUCUUCUUCUCAUCUCUUUCGCGUGCCCUAAAUCCCCCAAGUAAAAGUUUGUACUUAAUUCUUUUUCCUUUUAUUCUGAAAAUUUGCCCCCAAAUUUCCCAUUUCCAACAACACCAAAUGUCUGAGGACGACGAGAGGCAGCAAUCUCUACCGUCGGAUCUUGAGUUCUUUGUAAUGGCUUUUGCUUCUUCUUUUUUUCCGACGCUUGAUGGCCUUCUCUGAAUCUGUACGUUCUCUCUCCUUCCCCCCCUUUUCUUUUCUUUUUUUGUUUUUUGCUUUGUUUUCUUUUCAAACAUUUCAUAUCUUUAAAAUUAAGGUUUUUAAAUCUGUCUGAUCUAUUACAUUGAUGUUGUUUUGUUUGACUUAAUGUAUUUUCUUCUGGUUAUGAACGGUUUCUAGUAGAUCUGAACGAUUCUCUUCUUAUAUUUUUUUUCUUCUUUUUCUUUUCCCUUUUCGUGAAGUACAUAUAAACAUUACGUACAAUGUUGUUUUGUUGAUUGCAUAUUAUGACUAUAAGAUUCCCAACUUAUCUUUUCUGAGAUUUAGUUUCAGAUUUGCUUAUAGGUGAGAUUUAGUAUACUGACAACCUGCAAAAACAAAACAGAAUCUCUUGUAUCUGUGUUUGAAGUUAGAGUUGUUCAAGUCAAAACCAACUUUGGGUUUUUGAAUUGAUUAUCUUAGACUCAGUUCUGCUCAAAAGGGUAGGUCUGUUAAAUAUUUUUUUACUUCGGCUUCCAUUUGUUCUUGGUGAUAGAUGAUCCUGUGGUCGAAAUUCGGGUUGACCCCACCUUUGGGAGUCUUCUUUCUGCAGUUAUGAAUGUUCAGGAAGAAAAAGAGUAAUAAUUGGAUGUCCUUUUAAUCAUUCUCUUUUUUUUUUUUUUUGCUUAACUAUGUAUGUGAUCUAUCCCUGGUGCUGCUCUGUUCUUCAUUCGGUUGCUGGGUUUCACUUUUACUGAAUGUUUCUUCAUUUUUGGUAUAUAGAUGAUGUCUCCAAGACUUAACUUCUGGUCUAUUUUUUUAGCUUCCUUAGUGCGGGGUUUAAACUUUGAAGUUGUGCCACUUAAUCUGAGAUUUUUAAUUUCUUUUCAGCCUUUGGAGAUCCUCUCAGUUCCAAGAUAUUAUAUUUUGGUUAGAUAUCGGGCAUCGGAUUUGUCUUUUUCUGUUGCUUAUCGUGAUUAAUAUUUCUGGUUUCAAUUGGUUUGCAGGAUUUUGGUGGCGGCUUCUAAUUCUCAGUCGGCUUUUUCAUGGAUUUGAAGUGAAGAUUAGAUUUGAAGUGCUGGGUUCGUUUCCUGCAAAAUAAAAUUUGGAUUUUCAAAUUGAGUUGUAUCGGCAUCAAUCCAGCGGAUACUGAGCAAGCUCUAAGUACUUGUUCAUAGCUUGAGAAUUUAUAUUGAUUCUGUAUGGAAAUGACUUCAAGAAUUUAUAGUGUUCCUUCUGUUGUUUAUAAUUUUUGUUGCAUGUUUAUGUAUAUUUUUAAUUAUUUCGGAAAAUGGAAUAUGGUUGUUGAAAUUCCUUGUCUUUUCCUACUUGCUAUUGUCACUGGUACUAGGUUAGGCGCCUUCUAUGCUCUGCAAGACCUGUGGCUAUCCAAACAUCAGCCAAUCCAAGUGCCUCUGAUCAGGAUCUUCAACAGGUAUGCUUCUUUUGUUGCUUGAUAUGAAUGCUGUAUAGUCACCUCUUUUCCCUCUUGCACAUUGUAGCUUAAGUUGUAAUCAUUUUCUAAUAAAUUGGUCUGACAAUAUAUGGUACCACAUGUAUAUCUAUAUAUGCUUAGAUCAAUAUUCUUAAAACACACUGGAUGCAUUAGCCUACAAUUUCCUCCUUCCUUUGAUAAUGCCCUUGAUAGUUUCUUUACAAGGAGAUAGUGAUAAUGUUUGAGGGCUUGCAAAAUACCCUUGAGAUUUUAACAUGAAUAUCUGACAGGAUAUGCAAACAACUUACAUGAUGAGAUUCAUUUAGUUUGGUAGUCUCUUCUAUCUGACAUGUUAGCUGUCAUUUUAGAAGAGUAAUAACAUGAUGAUUAUAGUUUGCUCUGCACAUAACUCAACGCAGAUUGCAUACAUUAAUGUUGUUUUGUUUGUUCAGGCUCAACUGUGGCAGCUUGCACAAAGGACUACUGCUCUUCCUCUUGGCCGUGGGGCAUUUACUUUAGCAACCAUAUAUACUCUAUUAACAGAGGUACUCACUCUUUUGGAGUUUUACAUUUAUUUUCAUCAAUUGAUUGUUUUCUUAUGAGAUUGAUUACCUUAAGAUGCAUGCCACUUUUUUCCUGAUGGAAUCUCUUGCCACUUUAUGCUGGCCUUUACUGUACCAAAGCUUGUUUUAGCAGGGCGGUUGCCAGCCCAACAAAAUGCAACUGUAGGUCCAGCAAUAAUUCUUUUGCUAUUUCUUUUUUUCUUUUUAACAUGCAUUUGUUCUUUGGGUGAUAUCAUAUAUACUGUCAAGUUUCCCCGUGAGUGAGCAACUGUAUUAUCAUUUAUGGAAAAUUUGAACUAGAAAGCUUUCAGCAAAAUAUUAUUAUAUAUGGCGUAUAAUCCUUGCUCUAUGUUUUCAAGAUUUAUUGCCUAUUUUUUUAAACUGUAGGAAGCUUGGGUUAAGAAUUCUGUGUUUAGCCACAGAAACCAUUUGUAAUUCUGUUCUUCUCCUUACUGUUCUUUCUUUUAAACAUUCUCCCAUUUAUCUCCUUUGCAUCAUUUCAGUUUUUUUUUUCCUUUUUGUAUUUAUUUUCUACAAUUGUUGUGCUGAUAGGUUAAUCUUGAUCCAAGCAUAAGGAACAUUCAAGAACUCAAGUCAUGGCCUGAGUUCCACAAUGCUGUUGCUGCCGGGUUAAGAUUGGCCCCACUUCAGGUUUAUAUGAUAUCUUUUGGAAGUACAAUACCAGUUUUACAGUGGGCCAAAAGUUCCUGUUUCUUCAUGAAUUUAUUCUUUGAAAAUUGCUUAUGUUGGCUGUUUUUAUUUAUUUUUUUAUUUAUUUAUGAAUAUACAGUUAAAAGUACCUCGUAAAAUUUGAGACUGUAUGUUGCCAUUUAUGUUCUUUAAUUUUCUUUUUCUCUUGCUCAGUUGUUGUGCUAAUAUAUUAUGUGGUUUACGCAUGCUUGCUUCCCCUGUUGUCAUUAUCUUCAUAGCUCAUCAUGGCCAUGCUUCUCAUUGUUAUCUGAAUUACAUCUUGUGUUGUUCAGCAUCAUAGAGUCAUACUAACCCCAUCCUUAACCUGUGUUUCAGUCUUUCCACUGCAGGCAUGGAAAGGCUUAUCUCUUUGAUAAGGUGUAAGUAUUUCAUUGCUAUGCACUCUUUUUUUUUUUUUUUUUCUCCAUGGAGUGUUCUCUAAAAAUAGUCUUAUCUAUUUUAAAACCAUGCUCAUGAUUUCACUUUCUAUGCAUUUCAUUGUGUUUGGAAGAAACAAAGAAGUGUUUGGAAUAAAUAAAUAAAUGUUGUCAGCAUGUUAGCACCACAGUUCAAUGGUUAUAUACUUAAAAAGAAGAUUCAUAAUAAUUAAUUAAUUUACAUCAUCAAGUGGAUUAUUGAUAACUUCUAUCUCUUGAUUAUAGAAUUAUUAGUUUUAUUUCAUACAAAAACUAAAAUCAUUCCACACCGAACAUCUAGCAAAACUAAAUAGAAUUAUUGUUACCGAUCCCGUUUCGAGCUGAGGAGAGUGCAGUUGUGUCGGUUAGAGGUGAUAUGAGUGUGAAAGGGCAGAAGGCUGAGGUGGGUGUUAAUGAUAUGGAGGGUUCGGUAGGAUUUUCGGAUUCAAACGAUUUUGGGUUUGUGGGUAAUGAGAGUCAUUCAGAGGGAGUGGGAGAUGAGGAGAUUCCAGGGUUUAAUUUGAAUUCUGCUGGACUACUUGGGAGACCACAGGUAAACAAACAGAUCAAUAAAUUGGGAAUCUUUUUGGGGGAUAGUUUGGUACUUGAAUUUAUGAACUUUGUUUGUGUUAAAUUCUUGAAAAAUUACUGUUUUAGCUUGUAAGAUUGAUUUAGUAAUUGCGGCGAGUGCUCUUUAUUUCUUAUCCAGCUUGGACCAGUGCUCUUUGUACGAGAUACAACACUUCUUUUACCAGUUCAUCUAUCAAAGCAACAUUUACUAAUUUAGCAAAUUCUAGUGGUAGUCAGCUCGUUUUUAUCUAAUUUGACUUCUUUGUUGGCUGUUUAUAGGUUGUGUCUAAAUAUCUGAAGUGUUUAUACAAAUGUAAGUACUACUUUCAACCUUUUUUGAUUUGAUAGUUAAUGGAUUCUAUGAAAGCUCGUUUUCAGGUUGCUUAAGAGAGUAGAUGUUCCUGAAUUGAAGUUCACCUUGUAUUUUAUGAGCUAUUAGAUUCAAGUGAUCCAGUUGAUAGAACAGUUAAUCAUUAUUCCUCUACCUUGCAGUGUGUUUAACACUUGAAUGUUUCCUAUACAGUAAUUGGGAUACUGAAAGUGACUAGGAGUUCGAAGGAUACCAAACCGGGAAUUCAGAACCUUUAGGCUCUGGUAUGAAUAGUCCUUGCCUCUUGUAAUAUGUGGAUUGUGUAUUGAAGGAGUUUUUGGGAUUUCUUAGGUACUAAAAAUGCCCUUUUGCUUUUUUCAGGACAUAUUGGCAUCACCCUGGAUGAUACAAUCAAAGCAUGUGAAAGAUUCCAACGCCUUGGAGUAGAGUUCAGCAAAAAACAAUUAUGUAUAUCACAUGGAGAUUAUUUAAGACUAGAGCAUGCAAAUAUUUUCUAAAAGUGCUUUUGUUCAUGCCUAGUUUAUCAAUCUCAUUUGUACGGUAUGCAUUCAUCAAGGAUCCUAAUGUUUUUGGAAGAAUUUUAGUUAAUUUUAGUUUUGAUUCUAAAUUUUUAUUUUUAUUUCAAUAUUUUUAGUUAAAAUUUUAAUAGAAAAUUUAAUUUGAUAAUGAAUUUUAAUAGAAAAUUUUAUAUUUAUAUCAUGGAUAUUAUUCUUCUCAAUAUUUUGAUAAUGAAUUUUAAAUUUUUUAUAUUUUUCAUGAUUUUUAUAAUAUAUACUUUUUUAAAAUUUCAUUACCUUUAGCGGCGUUUUUAGGUAAAGCGCCGCUAAAGGUCGUGACCUUUAGCGGUGUUUGUGGGAAAAAGUGUCGCUAAAGGUCAAGACCUUUAGCGGCGUUUGUGGGAAAAGCGCCGUUAAAGGUCAUGACCUUUCACUAAAGUUUGUGGCGUUUAUUUAAAAAAAACGCCACAAACUUUAGUGGCGCCAUUUAUAGCGGCGUUUUUUGCAGCGCUUAUAAAAACGGGUGAUUUAUGGAUCUAAUGAAUCGGGUGUUCCAACCAUUCUUGGAUCGAUUCGUAGUCGUCUUUAUUGAUGAUAUCCUGAUAUAUUCUGAAAAUGAAGUGAAACAUGAUGAGCAUCUCCGUAUAGUGCUGCAAGUGUUAAGGAAGAAGGAACUUUUUGCGGAGUUCAGCAAGUGUGUGGUUGAGGGAGGUAACCUUCUUAGGACAUGUGGUCUCUGUCGAAGGGAUUAAGGUGAACCCUCGAAAGAUUAAAGCAAUUUUAGAGUGGAAGCCACCUAGGACGGUGUCGGAAAUUCGAAGCUUCCUAGGGUUGGCAGGAUAUUACAGAAGGUUUGUGGAAGGUUUUUCUGUUAUGGCAGCACCCCUGACAAAACUAAUAAGGAAAGGAGAACCGUUUGUAUGGACUGAGAAGCAGCAGGAAGCUUUUGAGAAGUUGAAGAAAGCUCUGACUGAAGCACCUGUGUUGAUUCAACCGGAGUCUGGGAAGGAUUUUACUGUGUACAGUGACGCAUCACACGUGGGUUUGGGCUGCGUGUUAAUGCAGGAGGGUAAGGUGGUUGCAUAUGCAUCAUGACAACUUAAACCUCACGAAGAGAACUAUCCUACUCAUGAUUUGGAGUUGGCGGCAGUGAUAUUUGCACUUAAGAUUUGGAGACAUUACUUGUACAGGGAGAGGUGUAUUAUAUACAUUAACCACAAGAGUCGUAAGUAUUUGUUGACUCAGAAGGAGCUGAACCUUAGGCAAAGGAGAUGGAUUGAGUUGCUUAAGGAUUACGACUGUUCGAUCGAGUAUCACCCAGGUAAGGCUAAUGUGGUAGCCGAUGCUCUAAGUCGUAGAGCUGUAUCUGAUCUGAGAGCAAUGUUUGCUCGUUUGAGUCUGUAUGAUGAUGGAAGUCUGUUGGCUGAGUUGCAAGUGAGACCAACCUGGGUGGAUCAGAUUAAGGAAAAGCAGUUGAACGAUGAGUCUUUGGUCGCUCAUUUCCAACAAGUUAAGGAAGGGGAAACUUCUGAGUUUGGGUUAGAUGACGAAGGAGUUCUGUGUUUUCGAGGAAGAAUUUAUGUUCCGGAGGACUCUGAUUUGAGGCAGACAAUAUUGAAGGAAGUUCAUGGAAGACUAUGUGCCAUGCAUCCUGGAGGGAAUAAGUUGUAUCACGACUUGCGAGCAUUGUACUGGUGGCCUGGACUUAAACGAGAAGUAACAGAAUUUGUAGGGAAAUGUUUGACAUGCCAGCAAGUGAAAGCUGAGCAUCAAUUACCCUCUGGAAUGUUACAGUCAGUGAAGAUACCACUUUGGAAGUAGGAGAGGGUAACCAUGGACUUUGUGAGUGGGCUGCCCUUGACACCAUCGAAGAAAGACUCGGUGUGGGUGAUUGUGGAUAGGUUGACCAAAUCAGCCCAUUUCAUACCUGUUUGUACUGACUUUUCACUUCAAAAGUUAGCUAAGUUGUAUGUGGCAGAGAUUGUACGACUUCAUGGAGUCCCAGUUUCAAUUAUUUCUGAUCGGGAUCCCAGAUUUACAUCUCGAUUUUGGAAAAAGUUGCAUGAGGCGUUGGGGACGCGAUUGAAUUUUAGUACGGCUUUCCAUCCCCAGACUGAUAGUCAAUCGGAAAGGGUUAUUCAGAUUCUGGAGGACAUGUUGAGGGGAUGCGUGAUUGACUUUCGAGGUAGUUGGGAGGAUUACUUGCCGUUGGCAGAAUUUGCGUACAAUAACAGUUUCCAGGCGAGUGUUCGAAUGGCACCGUAUGAAGCACUGUAUGGACGAAGCUGUCGUACACCUAGUUGUUGGACCGAACUAGGAGAGCGAGAAGUUCUUGGACCAGAGCUGGUAGCUGAUACUGAGGAUAAGGUCAGAAUAAUUAGGGAUCGAUUAAAGGAGGCAUCUGAUAGACAAAAGUUGUAUGCAGAUUUGAAGCGUAAGGAGAUUGAGUACUCAAUAGGUGAUAUGGUCUUCUUAAAGAUUUCUCCUUGGAAGAAGAUAUUAAGGUUCGGUAAAAAGGGCAAGUUGAGUCCGCGGUUCAUUGGGCCUUAUCGGGUUUUGAAGCGAGUAGGCCCAGUGGCUUAUCAGUUGGAAUUGCCUCUAGAGUUAGACAGGAUUCACGAUGUUUUUUUCACGUCUCCAUGUUAAGGCGUUAUCGUUCUGACCCUGCUCAUGUCGUGCCAGUUGCAGAAAUUGAAGUUCAGACUGAUUUGACCUUUGAGGAGGAGCCUGUGCAAAUAUUGGCUCGAGAUGUUAAGGUUCUUAAAAGGAAAUCUGUCCCGUUAGUGAAAGUACUUUGGCGUAAUCAUGGAAGGGAAGAAGCUACUUGGGAAUCAGAAGAGACUAUGCGUCAACAAUACCCUCAACUAUUUGGAUCAGGUAAAUUUCGAGGCUGAAAUUUCUUUAAGGGGGUAGAGUUGUAACGCCCCAAUUUUCUGGAAUUCUGUGAAUGUUGGCAUAGGUUUAAUUAUGUUAGUGGGCCUCUAGAAGGCCCAAGCUUAAGAUAGAACCAGGUAAUUUUAGUUAAUUUUUGUUCCAUAAGAAAAAGGGAGUGAAAUUAUGAAAUAGGACCUAUGUGAAAAUGUUUGAAAAUGCUAUAGGCUAAUUUGUAGUGGCCAAAUAAAUAGGAGUGCAAAAUAGGAGGAUUUGCAUGACAAACCUCCCAUUUUACAUGAAGUGGCCAGCCAUCAUGUUGUUGUAGACAAUAUGAGCACUUGAUAUCCAUAAUUCAUGAUACAAAUUGAUAAUGGGUUAGGUAAAUGUUCCAUGAUAAUAGAUUAGGUAAAUAUUCCAUGAUAAUGGGUUAGGUAAAUGUUCCAUGAUAAUGGUUUAGGUAAAUGUUCCAUGAUGGGCAUUUCAUGUCUUUUGUAUUAAAGAAUUAAAUGGAUGAAAUAUAAAAUUUUAUUAAAAGAAAAAGGGGUGAAAAGAACAAAGUUUUGUCCAUCUUUGUUCAUCAGAGCCUAAAGUUAGAGAAGAGAAAGGAGAGGAGAAAGCUCUUGAAUGUUCGGUUACUUGGGGAAGAAAAUUGAAGGUAAGUUCAUGGUAGUUUGCUUCUAUCUUUGAUGUUCAUGAGUUCUUCUUGAUUCUACCUUAACUCUUGAAGCAUAUUUUGGUUUUUAGUUGUGCUGUGAGCAUUUGGUCAUGAAUUAAAAUGAAGGAAAUGGUUGUUGUUUCAUGUUCUUUUGAUGAAAAAUGGAAGAUAGGUGAAGUUGAGCCAAACAAAUGAACAUGCAUGUGCCUUAGAUGCUAAAGGGAAAAAUCGGCUAACAUGUUGUGCUUUAAAAUGAUGAAAUGGAGAUAAUACUUAAGUAAAAUCAUAGAUAUGUGGUGAUUGAUUGGUGAUAUACAUGUUUAAAUAACAUGCAUGCAAGGUAUGUGUGAAAGAGUGAUUUGGUAAUAAAUCUGCUUGGGACAGCAGCAGUAACGUGACUUUGGAAAAUCACCAUAAAUUGUGGGAGAUGAGUUAGAAGCUGCAUAAAUUAUGUAAUUAAAUAUUAAUGAGUCUAGUUUCAAAUGAAAUAAACGAGAACAUAUUUUGAAUUCUGUACAAUGAGAAAUUUGAUUUGUAAUGAAGAGUGGUCAGAUUAGUCAAACAGUGAAACAUGCGAAACUUUGAGAAAAAUCUGGUAUUGAUUGGCCAAACAAAAAAUUCUGAAAAUUUUAUAGAUAUAAGAUAUAUGAGUCUAUUUUCAGGGAAAAUUAACGACACUUGAUUUGGAGUUUCGUAGCUCUAGUUAUAAAUGAUUUAGUAACUGUUGCUCAGGAAGACAGCUUGCAGUGAAAUUAUGAUUAUGUGGUAAACAUUGACAAAAAUUUGUUAAUGAGUUGCUUAUUGAUUUCUUAUAAGCUUACUAUGAUCUGUAGGUGUGGUUGGCCGAAUAUUGUAAGGGGUUAAUACGUAGUUUGUAUUUGAAUAGUUAGAUUAACGUGUUAGUAAUCCAAUUGUAGGCGGUUCGUGUGUGGAUCUCGUCAGCAUAUCUUCGCAAACAAGUGUGUAACUAACACCCUCUUUCUUAGUCUAGAUCGGCAAAAGUCGAAAAGCCAAAAUGCCGAAAACCGGUAUUUUGUAGAUUUACGAGUGUGCGAAUGCUCGUAAGGUAAAUCGAUUAAUGUUUUUGGUAAGCUGCAAUGUUUGGACUGUAAAGUGCAUGAUUUCUGUGCCCUCGAUAUUUUUGGGCUUAAUGGGCCAAAAUUGGAAUGAUGGGCCAACGGGCCCAAUUCGGUAAGAACCCUCGGUAGUGAUUCUGUUAGUAUGUGAAAGGUAGGAAUAUGCAUGAAAAACCCUAAAAUAGAUAAAUUAUUGAAAUACCUUUAAAAGUGGAAAAUUUACAGUUUUACCCCUAGUAGAUAAAUUACCGAAAUACCCGUAGGGUUAAAUUGACCUAAAUGCAUGUUUGACUGUUGUUAUUUACUGCAUGCCAUGUUGUUAUUAUCUGAUGCAUGGGAUUGGGAUAUUGACGGAGGAAGUACUGAAAAUGGCUUGUCCACGUACUAGAGGCUUUGCCUCAAUUUACUGUUAACUGAGCAGCAAGGCUGCAAUUGUGGAGUGUUGGGCUGUUUGGGUUGAGCUAUUCCCCACAUGGAGUGUAUGGCUAGUAGUCUCCCCAAAUGGGCUUGCAUAUGUUUACUGAUGUUGUAUGUAUUUUGAAAUGGGCCUAUGGGCCAUACUGUUAUCUGAAUAAGGGGCUAAGGCCCAGUUUAUUGUAAUCUGAAAAGGGCUCUGGUCCAGUACCACUGUUACCUGAAUGGGCUAAUGCCCAAUAGGCUUGAGCUGACUUGGGCUUUGAAUGGGUUUUCCUUACACACUGAGUUUCCCCAAACUCACCCCUUUUAUUUUCAUCCACACAGGAAAUCCCCAACCAUAGUGGGCUUGGAGCUGUGAGGGAAUUCGGAGUGGCCACCCGUUCUGAAAGUUUGAUUUUCUUCUGGUGAACUGGACAUCCUUUUAUUUACGUUUGAAGUUUUUGGGCUUUUAAAUGUAAUAAGGCCGCUUAAUUAUUUUUGAUGGUUUUAAUAUGUAUUACUAAGAUAGGUAAUACUUAUUUUAACUGUUGAAAUUGGAUAGCUUUAGGGCGCGUUUUCGAAAACAACAAUUGAUUUCAAAAUAACACGACAACAAGCAAAGCUUCCACAAUAAAAGUAUUUUCCAAAAUUAAUCACUUUUCCUAAAAAUGACUUAAUCAAAUCGGUUUCCUAGAAAUAUCCAUGACGUUAAGGUGUGGCAAUGGCGGUAUGCAUGUCUAGGAUUGGAUCCGAAGGGAGCUUGGUACUUAAGCAGUCCGAUGGACUCACCACCUCUUUUCCGGUUUCCUACCUGGUGCAUAGCUUCCAUUCACUUUAACCUUUAAUGAAUUAAUCUUUUGAACAUCAAGUAUGAUUUUCUAGACUUAGAAUGGAAUUUUUUUUUUUACGUUUUUGAUGUGGCAUGACGGAUCCGGCCAUAACUUCUGGGCCGGGUUUGGGGUGCUACAAUAAUUACUACUUUAGUUCCUCUAUUAAUUUUUAAUCUAUAAUUCAACUUUUAACCCUUAUGCGAUUUAGUCCUUAUACCUUAAUAAUUCUUAAUUUCUUAAAAUUCACUUAAACAAAAUCUAAUUCACUACUAACUAACCUCAUAAAUAUUUAAAUAAAAAUAUUUGCGGGUUUAUUUUACGAAAAUAGCAUCUUGGACUUCACUUUUUGAUUUAAAUGGAUAACUAUCAGAUCAAUACUGAUUUAAAUAUAGUAUCCUAACCCGACGUUUUAUACAUGUGAUGUAGAAUUGCUUAGGUGCUUUAGAUGGAACCCACAUUAAGAUUAGGGUUCCAACAGUUGAUAAACCUAGAUAUCGAAUGCGAAAAGGUGACAUAGCACAAAUAUUUUAGGUGUUUGUACACCUGAUAUGCAUUUUGUUUAAGUUCUUCCUGGUUGGGAAGGUUCUGUUGCUGAUGGACAAGUUCUUCAAGAUGCCAUUAAUAGGAGACAUGGACUAAAAGUUCUUCAUGGUAAAGUGCAAAGUUAAAGGAAUUUGAAUUAAUUUUUAAGAUCAUACUUUUUUAGGAAAUUAACCAUGAUAAAUAAAUUUUUUAUAGGUUGUUAUUAUCUAGUUGAUGUUGGAUACACAAAUAUGAGGGAUUUCUUAUGCCUUUUAGAGGACAAAGAUAUCAUUUGACUGAGUGGCGUCAGGGUUACUAGCCAAGUACUCUGGAAGAAUUUUUCAAUAUGAAACAUGCUUUAACGCGCAAUGUUAUUGAAAGAUGCUUUGGGUUAUUAAAACUUAGAUGAGGAAUACUUAAGAGGAGUCCAUCGUUCUAUCCUGUAAGGGUACAUAAUAGAAUCAUUAUUGCAUGUUGUUUGCUCCAUAAUUUUAUUGGAACCUAUAUGAGUUUUGAUCAUAUUAAAGUGGAGUUGGGAGAAGGAUUACCUAGUAAUGUGAUAAAUGACGAUGAACCGAAUAUCGUAAAUAUUCAUCCAUUGGAUGCAUGGGCUACUUGGAGGAUGGAACUAGCCAAUCAAAUGUUUGAUGAAUGGCAAGCAUCUAGAAAUUAGUUAGGUUUAGGGUAAAAAUAGUAAACGUUAAUUUGUUUAUGUUAUUUCAUGUAUCUAGUUUAUGAAACUUUGGUGAUGUUUAAAUUGUUUUUUGUAUUGUACUAGACUAGUUGAAUUAUAAUUUGUUUUCUUUUAAUUAAUCAUGUGUUAUAAUUUUAUAAAGUGUCAACCUUUUAAUUCAUAAUAUUGAACUUAUUUUUAAUUUGUGUUUUUUCUUAAGAUAGUUAUGUUAGGUUUUUCACAAUCAAGUGUUUAUUCGCAAAAUUCUCGAUGAACCAAAAGGAAAUGGGUUCCAAAAGAAGAUGCUAGGUUGGUUGCCUGUAUGGUUGACUUGCACAAUAUUGGAACCUUUAAUGAAAAUAUGGGAUUUAAAGCUAGUUAUUUAAAUGAGUUGGAAAAAAUGUUAGAAAAAGUUUUACCCAUGCGAUGUUAAAGGCUAAACCUAAUCUUGAAUCGAGGAUUAGGACAUUGAAAAGGGAUUAGGCAAUCGUUUAUGACAUGCUUAGUGAAAAAAUAAUAGUGGCUUUGGUUGGAACGAUCAUAGGUAGCUUGUUGUUGCUAAAGAUGUUGUGUGGAACUCAUAUAUAAAUGUAAGAAUUAUUUCGAGUCUUUAUUAUCUUGUUUUGAGUAAACUUAUAUCUAAUAUGGAUUCCUCAUUUUUUAUAGAGUCAUAAAGAAGCCUGUCAAUUAAAACAUCGUAGUUUCCCUUAUUAUGACCAACUUACUACCAUCUAUGCAAAAGAUCGAGCCACUGGGAAAUAUGCUCAAACAACAGCUGAUAUUAUUGAAGAAAUAAAUGUUGAGGAUGUAGAUACUACAAAUACUUAUAAAGAAAGAAAUGAUUGUCAUGGAUGCGAAGUUGAUGUUUCUUUGGAUGACAUGGAUCUUUCAGCUACACAACCGCAACCACCUAGAAACCAAGGUGAUUCCACAUUUUCAAAGAAGAAAAAAAAAGAUUUCUGAUGCAAGUGAUCAUAUUUCUUUUACUUCAUUUACGGAUGCUUCCACUUUAUUGGAGAAAACAUAUGGACCGUUGGCCUUGAAAUCAGUAGGAGUAUUGCCUCCGAAGUGCUAAUUCAACAAAAGUCAGAAAUGACCUUUCAAGAAACUGCUCUAAAAUUAUAUUCAACCUUAUGUGAAGUAAAAGGUUUAACUGAGGAUGAACGCUAUAGCGUAUUGAGCAAAAUUCCAGACCAUCCAACGCAAAUGCUCAUUUUCUUUAGUUUACCUUCUUCUGUGUGGCUGGAAUGGGUUAGAAGAUUUCUUGCUAACCAUUAAAAAUCAUGGUUGUGAUGGUGAUAUUUUGGUAACUUUUUGUGUUUGUAAUAUUUGGAUGGUAUAAUGACAUGAUAGAAUGUGAUUACAAUAUUGUAACUUUUUGAUGUUGUAAAAUUUAACAUAUGGAUUAUGACAUAUAAGCUAAUGAAACCAUGUUACUUUUUGUUAAUAAAUGAAUAUUAUGUUUGAAUGUGAAAUAUAAUCCUCAAGCUAUUUGUUACUUCUAAUAUUUUAUUUUUUAUUAUAGAAUAAUUAAAUUAUUUAUUUCAUUAAUAAUAUUUUAGCACAUUAAAUAUGUAUUGCAGUUUAAAAAUAAUAAAGUAGGUUAUACAUUAUUUUUAUAAUAUUAUAUAUUAUGAUUUUUUAAUUCAUAUAAUAAUAAUUAUAUAUAUUAAGAAUGUUAUUAAAUUAUAUAUUGUUUUAUUAAAUUGUAUUUAAUAAUAAUUAUGUUAAAUUAUGAUUAAAUUAUUUAUUUUUAUUUUUAUUAAAAUAUAUUUAAUGAUAAUUUUAUUAAAAUUUAAUAACAAUAACAAUAAUCAUCUACCUAAAAAACUUAUGUUGAUGGUACUUUGGUCAUUUAAGUCUUUUUCCUUAUACUAUUACAACAUUUAUUUCAUUCAACCAAACAAUGGAAUUACUGAUUACAGCCCUAUUCCAUUACAGUGAACCAAAUGUAUCCUAAAUCUUAAACCCUAAAUCCUUGUCGACUCUCCUUCCGUAAAGAUAUUUUUAGUCAUAUGAUUGUUUCUCAAAUGUUUCAUAUGUUUGAAAAAAUUCAGAUCAAUAAUUACAUUAAUUAGAUAAUCAAGGCUUUAAAGGGUUUUUUUUUAAUAUUGUUUGAAUAAAAAGAAGAGAGAAUGUUUUAUAUUUAGCCCAUAAAAGGCUCUGCGUGUUGACAUGAUGGGAGCUUAGGAUUUAGGAUCCGCGUCUUUUUUAUGCAACGAGAUAUUUUCUUCUUCUUUUUUAUCUUUAGUAGUCCGUAUUUUGUGUGAUUUUAUCCCUAAUUCAAUUUUAAUUUAUUCUAUCUGAUCUUGAUUUACAUUUAAUCGCAUUCAAUUGGAUGUUUUUUUUAUUUUUUUAGGUUUAAAAUUUAAAUUUUUAUUGUAUACAAUUUUAAUUAUUAAUUCCAUUACAUGUAUUUGAUUUGUGGUUUAUUUAAUCUAAUUACAGUUAAUGUGUAUGUAUAUUUGUUUUGUUUACUUGUGAUAAAAUAUAUUUCUAAAUAUGUUGAAGUAUGAUUUUUAAUUUGUUAUUAAAAAACAAUAGAUUUGUAAAAAAAAAAAAUUACAUAUUUAUUUACAGCUGCAUUCAAUUUUUAUUCAUAUUAAGAUACAUUUUUUUAUCAUUAAAAAUAACUAUUUUUUAUAUUUAAAAUUAAAAUUUUAAAUAAAAUAUUGUUCUUUAAUUAGAUUAUUUUAGAAUAUUUUAAAUAAUGCAAUAAUUUUUUAAUGUUAAUAAAAUUUAAACAAUAGUAUAAUAGUUUUUUACAAUAAAUUAUUUAAUAAACUAAUAUAAGAAGUAAUUUAAAACUCUACGUAUAAAAGAGGGAGAUUUCAAGUUCUUCGACCCUUUCCCGUAAGUAGCCAAAAUGUACUGUUAUUUUCUUUCUUUUGGUCUCUUAUUGAACGCUUUUUUACUUCCAUGAAUUUGGUUGCCCCCAGAACAACGAAAAUUUGAUUUGACAAUUGACUAAAGUCUAAACCACGUAAUCUAUGAUGUGUUGUUAAUUUCUCUAUGUUUUGUACUACUAACUUGACUUGUCAAAGCAAAGGCUUGGUCAGCCAAAAAUGUAGAUCUAAACUUCGUUUCCUGGCGUAUGCUUCAUCUUCAAUGAAUUAUUGAUAAGCAUAUUACCAUUUCCUCCCACGUUGCAUCAUGUCUGCAGGCAAAACAACACAUUUUUGGCUAAUAUCAUUCAUUUUUCACUACUCUGAUCUUUUAAACUGUUUAAGGGGCUGCACCACACCAUGGCACUCAACUUUUUUUCCACCUACGAAGAAAUUGUUAAAAGAAUUAUAAUUUUUAGAAACUUUGAGGCAUAUUCUCAAUUGUUAAAGGUGGAAAGUUGAAUCAUAAAAUUAUGAUUUUAUAUUCUAUUCCAUGAGACCUUUACAACUAUAUAUCAUAUGCUCAAAACGGUUGAGUGAUGAAUGAGAAAUUGAUGCUCAAAGUAAGCUACUUGAACAUAUUUGUUGAGGAAAAGAAAAGCUUAGAUUUCACAUUGGUUAAAUACCAAGUGUGAGAUGUGUAUAUAUUUGAGAACCCACUUGAAAAGUAAUUGAAUGACUAAGUUUAAAAUUUUACCUCACGCACAGGGUGCAAAUCCAAACCCAUCGGGGUUAGGGCGCACCAGCACGAUGUGGGUAACGUGAAAUGUUCGGACCGGUCGGGCUCAGAGGCUGCAGAUAUUUUAGCCCAACAUCAGAUUUAUUUUUCUCAGCAAAUAUAUACAAAAUCUAAUUUAAAAGGAUAUAUAUCCUAAUUUAUUUGAUUCAAAUUGAUUUAACUGCUCAUUUAAUGCAUAUUUUGUAUCUUUAUUUAUGAAUAUUUUCAAAAUUCCUCCAUAUUGAAUGCCUAUAAAAGCCUAAGAAUUCUUUAAAAUUUUUACACUUAUAGACUCUCUAAAACCGAGUUUAUUUUGCUCUUGAAAAUUCCUCUUUUCCUCUCAAUAUUUUGUUCUCUACUGCUUCGAUCAUCGUGUUGUUGUAUCCUGAGAGAUAGUCGACCAAUGUUUCUCCAAGUACCGUAGGAGCGGCCGAAUUUAUCUUAAAGAAACUAUGUAAAACAAGUCUCAAUAUCUAGUAAAAUUUGAUUUCUAGUUUUUUCAUAAUCUUAUUUAUUUAAUUGAUUUCUUAAAUAUAAAUAAUUAUUUAUUUUAUAUAAAUAUUUGUUUAUUUAUAUAUAUAUAUAUAUUUGCUAACGUGUUUUGUCCAACAGAAACAACAAAAUCUAUUGAAUGUGACAUAAUUAAGGGAAAUGCAGAGAGUUUUAAGCCAAAUCAUUGUUGAAAAAUACGAACUUUAACGAUUCUGAAAUAACUCGUGACCAAUUCACUCAAUUCACUAAACCUUAUCUUUUGAUUUUGUUACACAUACUUGACCGGCAUAAAAAAAUAUGAUCAAUUUGUAAAAAAUUGUAGGUUAAAAUAAACUUUUUUUUUAAAAUCUUAUUAGUAGAGAAGAGAUCAGAUUAUUGAUUUUCAGUUCAUUCAAUUUGGUCGAAUAAAUUAUUAAAAAUUAAAAAUUACAAAAAAAAAUAUUAAAAAUAGAGAAAACUAUUCUAAUUGGUUUAAUUUAUCCGUACUAAUUCAUAAAUUAAUCAGUUCAACCCUCUUAUUAAACUAGAAUUCUAGAUAAUCCCUCUAUGAUGAAUUGAUUUGAUCCUAUUCUAAAAAUAAUAUUAAGAAUUUUCGUAGGAUUGAAAGAAAACAUUGAAGGAAAGAAUUGGAAAGAUAAGAAAAUGUUUUUUUCCUAGUGUCUAGUUGGAAAGUUAGAAUGAUGAAAAAGAAAAAGAAAAGCUCAGUUUAGUUUUCGAAAAUAUCUUUAUUUAAAAAAAUAUUUUUUAUUUAUUAUUUUUUAAAAUAUAGUAAAAAAUAAAAUAUGUUUUCAAACAUAUUUGAUACAUGAGAAAUUUAAUUAAAAUUGUUUAUAUUUAUAUGGACUCAAAUUUUAAAAAUUAUUGAAAAAAUAUUUUUUUUUACCUUUUUUGAAUUGGGUGAAUUUAUUAAUUAAAUUUAAAGUUUAUAUUUCAAUUUUUCCAAUGCUAUGAAUAGUAUUUUUAGUGAAAAUAAGAGAAACAAGAUUUCAUAUUUUUAAAAAUUUUCACAUAUUUUCAUUUUCAAAAAAUAUUACAAUCAAAUUUGUUUUCUUUAGAGUUAGCAAAUUAGAAAUUUUGAAAUUAAAUAACAUGAAGAUUUGGCACUUUUACGCAGUAUUAGGGUAGCAGACAAUGGGUCUGUAUAUCCCUUGUGUACCCUGAAGCAAACGUUGUAGCUGAUUUUUUGGCAAAGUUAUCAUCGCUCUUGGAUGUUGGGCUGAUGGAGGUUGCCAUACCCUCAACUGGAACGUGGAACAAGCUACUGGAUGACAUUUUGUGCGUUUCUCGUAUGCAAAAUGGUGUCCUGUAAUUUGGUUUUAUUUUAGCUAGUAGUAGCCCUUUUGGUAAAGAAAAAAACAUAAACUAUACUAAUAGUCCCUAAACUUUAUUUAGACUUAUAUUUUAGUUACCCGAUUUUCAAGUAUAAAUAAAUUAAAUUUUUAACAAAAAUAACUAAUUUACUAUUUCAUUUAAUGUACAAUGAUUAAUUUACCUUUAAUUGAAUAGAUGAAGAAAAAUGCAAUUCAAUUUUUAAUACAUGAACCUCUAUAAUAUUUUUACCAUCAUAUUUAUGAUUGACUAUGAAGCAAAGACCAAUGCUACAAUUAUUCCUAACGUCCAUGAGGGGAUUCAUCGUGGGAGGGUGAUCGACAUCACUUACCAACUUACAGUCGAGCGAUGGCUUGUUGUUAACUUAUUUUCAAUUGUUAGCAAAUUGAUAUGCCAUAGUUACGGACAACCAAUACUAGCUCAAACAUUUUAAGACUUUAGUAGGAUUUGUUUUGGUACCUGAAAAACAUGCUUGAUUUCUGUGUUUUCAUAUUUGCCAUGCUGUAACCAUAUUUUUGUUCACGGAAUCCACCAAUUCAUUAUGUUGGCAACUAAGAUCAUUCACCCACUGUAUCACCCAUUCCCUUACAAAUUUUUUUUUAUCAACUCUCAUGUUAUUUGGUGUUCUCUCAUAAUUUUUUUAUACAUUUUCAUCUUUUUGUACUUUCACAUAUUUUUUCAGUAUUUCCUUAUAGUUUUUUUUUGUACUUUUUUUAUUUUCCGUAAUUUGAUACGUCAAAUUAGAUUUCCCGUUAUACUUAAUAAAGCUUGUUCUCGAGUAAUUUGAAUGUCUUUUCAGUAGUUUUUACUUAGUUUUAGUUUCGUGUUUUAGUAAGUGUUUAACGUGCUUUAAUCCCAUUUUUUAGACCCAAUUUGACCAAUUGCGUCAUAAGGACUUUAGCGGUUGGUUGAGUGUUGUAGAGAGUCAAAAGUGGUCCGAACGUGGACAAGAACAUCACUGAUAAGGGGUAUUGCGAUAUCAAUGCAGGGAAGUUGUGAUAUCCCUGAAUGUGCUGAAAUGAAAAGAAUAGAGACCACCUAUAAUGGUGUCACGAUACCCAACAUCCAAAGGAACUCCCCAUUUUGAGACUGCCAUGGAUAUCGCGAUACCGACCCAACCUAGAAUUUUUGGCUAAAUCGAAGACGUUAUAUUGAUUACCGAAGUGAUACUGAAAAACCAUUCUUUUUACUUUAGUUGAUUGGUAUAAAAAUCACUUUUUUUUUAAGAAAAACAUUCAUUAAUUAAAUCGAUUUUAUUUAGCAAUCUAAUUACAAUAUUAUUAUUAUUGUGAAGAUUUGAAAAAUGAUUUAAGGUUUAUCAUGGUUUUAAUGAUCAUAUACAAUUCAACAUUAAUUUAAUACACGUAACCCUUAACUUUUAUAUCCUACAUAAUUUAAUCCUUAAAUUCAAAAUCUCCAAGUCAGUAAAAUUUGCUAAAUACUCAAACAGGCCGAAUAUCUAUCUAUAUCAAUACCGUCCAUAAUAACUCAAUAUUCACAAGAGUAGCAUGUUACUUUUAACAUUUUAACAAAUUAGCUUUAGCUCAAAAACCAUAAAAAAUUAUUUAACAAUUUCCUCAUGAACAACCACCAUUACUUUAAAUUAAAGCUUUAACAUCAUAAACAACAAGGGUUCAUCAAUGGUCACAUUCAAAAACUUUGACAGUUUCAAAAAUAAAAGUACGGGUUAACUGGACCUAAUUGUAACGAUUUUAAAAAUAUAAAAUUUAUAAGAAACUACUUUAAAACAAACUUACAUGCAAGGGAUUUAUAAAGGCCGGAUUUAGAACUCCCAACAAUGGAGAUUUUCCUCUUAGUUUCGGUGGUGAACCCUUUUAGAAGAUGAUGGAAAUUUUGUUUUUAUUAUUCCUUAGUUUAAUUAUUCUAAUUACAAUUUUUACCCUUGUAAAUAAACAUACCAUUUAACAUCUUAAAAGUCCUUAAUCGUCCAUCAGUAUCCACUAUGGUCUAAUUCCUUCAUAGACCCAACUCGUUUGACAUAUAAUCCAUCAAAUCCCUUUAAUUAAUUAAACAUCAAAUUUUGCAUCCAUCACAAUUUAAUCCUUUUUACCCAACUAAUCAACUAAACAUUAAAUUUUCUUCAUCAGAAUUUAAUACAACCUUGAUGACUUCGUAAAUAUUAAUUAUUUAAUAUUUACAGACUGACACAUCGAAAUUGUAGUCCCAAAAUCAUUGUUUCCAAUAUCACUAAAAAACGGGAUAUUACAUGUCACCUUUGUGAAAUUACGGAGGUUCUUUUGUGAGCUUCUUAGCUACCUAUUGAACAAGCUACAAGUCCAUAAAUGGUAUAUCAUAAUUUUUGGUAUUUUCUCAUAAUAAUUGAUAUAUAUUUGUAAUUAUUGCUAUUCCCUUCGAUUUUUUGGUAAUUUCUCAUAAUUUUUGGUAUUGUUUUGAAAAGAAAGUUUGAUAUGAGAUAUAAUUUUGGAGUAAAUAAAAAUUUAUUUUUAAAUUGUAACACCUCCUAACCCUUAUCUAUCCCCGGAUUAGGAUUACGGUGCACUACCAGUCAGUACAGUUCAUUUACGAUUAUUAAUUAAAAUAAUUAUUUACACUUAUCACAAAUUUAACAAAUUAUCAAAUAAUUCAAAUUUAUACCUAUUAAGCCAAAUCCUAUUUUAUACCAUUACCAAACCUAAUUCUAAAUAUUUCAUCAAUACAUUGACAAUUCAAAAUACACACACAUAAAAUAUCCUAGGUACAUGUCAUUACCAACUAUUAACACGCUUUACCUCAUUGAAUUCGGGAUCGGCCUGGGAUGCUGAUUCCACGUUCUAGCUUUAACUUAACUUGCGCACGGAAACAAACCGUAUGCUGAGUAUGAACUCAAUGGUAUUUCUAUAAUCCGAACACUUAAUGAAAUGAAAAUAUAUAACAAACACUUAAAAUCAUAUACAAUUACAAUUAUUCAAUUAUUUAAUUCAUAGAUAAAUUCUUUAUAACUUAUCCCAUUCUUUUCACUUACUAACCUGUAUAGCUUUCCAUGAUUUAUUCACAAGUCAUUUAAACAAUAAUAUUAUUCACUUUUAUUCAAUUCAGAGGUAUAUAAUUCAUUUGUCUCAGUCAUACUUUAGUUCCCUAUUUAAUAUCAAUAAACUAUAUUCAACUAUUCACUUCUCAAUCAGUGUUCUGUACUUAUCCAUUUCAAUAACAGUCAGUAUUUUUCGGUAACAGUCAAUUGAUCUUUAUUAUUCAGUAACAAUCAAUCAUUAAAGAAAUCAGUCAUUCAGUAUUUUUAUUUACCCCUAUUAACAUGACUCGGACAUUGACGGAUACACGGAUCCAACCAGCACACCAGUACGGCACUCAGUGCCUCAUCAGCUUUGCCGAAGUAAACAGUAACAGUACGGUAAUUAGUACCUCAUCGGAUUAAACCAAUGUAACAGUAGCAGUAUGACACACAUGGUGCCUUAUCGACUCGAAGUCGAAGUAAUAGUACGACACUUAUAGUGCCUCAUCGACUCAAUGUCGAAGUAUCCCUGAACACUUCCAAUCCUAUGGCAUGCCAACUAUAUCCGAUUAGCCCGAUACAGUUAAUAGGAUAUUCAAUUUACUUUCCAGUUUCCAAUCAUUAUAUAUUUCAAAAAUCACAUUUAUUCUCAAUUCAAUAUAAUUCAAUUCACUUUUCAAUAACAAAUAUUCGAUUUCACAAUAGUCACUUAUUCAUACUAAUUUCAUCACAUUUCUAACCAAUAUAUUUUCUAAUAUAACGUACAUUCAAUAUUCAAUUUCCACAUCAAUCACAUAUAUUCAUAUAAAUUCGAUAAAUUUAUCACAUACUAAAUCAAUUCAUUUCAAUUAUAAAGACACAAUACAAAUAAUUCACAUCUUAAUUAUUUAUCAUAACAUUUACCCAAAAUUCAAUUAUCAUAAUUGCACACACACACACACAUAUAUAUAUCUAAUAUAAUUCAAUUUAAUUCAAUCAAUAUAAAUUCAUCACAUACCAAAUUAAUCCAUUUCCAUUAUAAACACAAUAAUUCUCACUUCAACAUUUACUAAAUGCAUUGAAUAAAAAAUAUAACAAUUAAUAACUAGGUUCGGAUUAUAGAAAUACAAACCGUAAUUUCCGAGCUAACCCUCGUCGACUUUUCUUUUUUCUUGCUUAGCAGAGAUUUCCGGCACAAUGUUAGCUAAGGAAAUUAAAACAAUUAAAAAUUCAUCAAUAUACAAUUUUAUUUUAUUUAUUCCAAUUUCAACUCAAUAUUUACAUAACUUCUAAUUUAAUCCCAAUUCAAACUAACUUGUUUUCUUUUCAAUUUAUUCUCUAUUUUUCACUCAACUAUCACUUAAAACCAAAUUUCAACUCUCUAAUUUCUCCAUAAAUCCAUAAUUUUGAAUUUCUUUUAAUUUAGUCCCUAAAGCAUAAAACUUAUAAAUUACUUUACAAUUCAAUCUUUAUUUCACUUCUAACUUGAAUUUCUAUCAAUUUAAUCCCCAAUUCAUCAUUUUAUUCAACAUGAACCAUAUUUAGAAAUCUAAUAUCUUCCAAAAUAUCAACUUAAUUCCAUCAAAACCUUAUUCCAAGGCUUUUAAAACAUCAAAAAUAAGUAAAAAGGGCUAAAUUGACUUACCUAUUUAAACUUCAAGCUUCAAACCCUAAUUUUCCCUUUUCUUCUUUCCUUCCUUUCUUUUUUUCCUUCCUUCUCUGUUUCAUUUCUUCUAUUCUGUUUCUCUCCUUCUUUUUCUUUCUUUUAUUUUCAUUAAACUAUUAUAUUUAUAUUAUUUAUACUUAAAUUAGUAAUACUUAUUUAUUAUUUAUAUAUAUAUAUAUGUAUAUUAUUAGUACAUAUGUAUCCAUUUAUAACCAUACAUUUGUUAUAAUUUAAUUUAUUUAUUACAUAAAAAUUUUAUAAUAUAAUUAUUUAACUAAUAAAUAUCUUUUACUUAAUAAUUAUCUAUUUAAUAACUAAAUACAAGUAUUACAAAUGUUUGUAUUUUUAUUAACAUUUUUGUAUCAAAUCUUCAUCACGCAUUUGUCUUUCUUUAAUUCAUUUAUUUAUUUACUUUAUUUAAUAAGUAAAUACAUACAUGUAUUACAAAUGUAUAUAUAAUAUUUAUUACACAUGUAUAUUUUUAUUACUACACAUUUGUCACUAUUUUAAUUUAUUUAAUAAUAAUAUCAAUUAAAUAAUAAUAACCAUAAUAAUAAAUUAAUUAUUCUAAGAAAAAUCUUAGAUUUUUCCAUCUUUUGCCGCCUAAAUUAGGACAAAUGGCAUAAUUUCCAUUUUGGUCCUUUAUAUUUUCUUUUAAUCUAUAAUUCAACUUUCACACUUUAUUCAAUUUAAUCCUUAUACCUAUUUAGCCUCAAUUUAAGCUAAUUCACCUUAUUAAACUCUAAUUAAUCACUCAAUUAACUUCGAAAAUAUUUUUAAUAAUAUUUACAAAUCUAUUUUUCAGAAACGGAGACCCGAAAAUAAAAUUUUUCGAUAACCGUAAAAUUUGGGUCGUUGCAUAAACAUUAAGAAAUUUCAUUGAGAUUUUGUAGCGAAAAAAAUGUAAUUGUUAAAUUAUAAUUUUUAAUACUAAAAAUUGGUACGGAAAAAAAUUAUAUUUUAUGAUAAUUUAAAAAAAACUAAAAAUUAAAUAAAUGAAAAAAAAUUAUUGAGACAAACCAAAAAUUGGCAUCCCUCACAAUUUUUGGUAUCUUCUUAUGUUAUUUGGUAUUCUCUCAUAAUUUUUUUAUACUUCCUCAUAAUUUUUUAUACAUUUUCAUAUUUUUUUAAUAUUCUCUCAUAAUUUUUUGUACUUUCUCAUUUUUUGGUACUUCAUCAGGUUUUAUGAUAUUCUCUCAUAAUAUUUAGUACUUCUUAAUAUUUUUAGUAUUCCUUCAUUAUUUUUUUUUUGUAUUCUCUCAUAUUUUUGGUACAUCAUCAUAUUUUUACAUCAUCAUUUUUUUUUUACUUUCUCAAAUUUAUUGGUACAUCCUCAUUUUUUAAUACUUCCUCAUGUUUUAUGGAAUUCUCUCAUAAGUUUUGGUAUUUUUUAAUUUUUUUUAGUUUUCCCUCAUAAUUUUAUUAUGCAUCCUCAUAUUUUUUUGGUAUCCCUCAUAACUUUUGGUAUCCGAUCAUAAUUUUUGGUAUUUCCUCAUAUUUUUUGGUAUUCUCUCAUAAUCUUUUAUACAUCUAAGUUUUUGUACUUUCUCAUAUUUAUUUAUAUUCUACAUAAUUUUUUGUAUUAUUUUGAAAGAAAGGUUUGGUAUGAUAUAUAAUUUAGGAGUAAAUAAUAAAUAUUAUUUCAAAUAUUAAGAAAUUUCAAUGAGAUGUUGUAACGGAAAAAAAUUGUAACUGUGAAAUUAUAAUUUUUAAUACUAAAAAUUGGUACUGAAAAAUUCAUACUUCAUGAUAAUUUUUAAAAAAUAUGAAAAAUUAAAUAAAUGAAAAACAUUCUAAGACAAACAAAAAACACCUCAAACUUGAUCGGGACGGUCCAACCCGAACUUCGAAUGUCACAUUAGCCAUCAAGGUAACUCUCUAUUUAAAACUUUACAAACCACACCAACCAACUAUACACACCACACAUUUGUAGAAUAUAUCAUAUAGGAAUUAGUCCUAAGUGCAUGUUUUUCUAAAUUAAUUAUUUCAUUCACACAAUUAGAAAGUAUAGGGCGUACCUUAAUACUCGGCGGUCUCCCUUAGCUGCGAAAAAAUUGUUAGCUCAAAUGAUUAUCAUCACAUUAAAUUAGUAAUAAAACCAUCCAGACAGGCAAUCAAACAAACAAUUAAAACAUUCAAAAUCCCCAAAAAUAAAAAUUAAACAGUUCGAAAUGUCCGUUUACAAAAUGUUGAAUUUUUUAUUUAAAAAGUCUAAGUCUAAGUCUAAUUCCAGUACUAAACCCUUGGAACGACCCACAUUGCCUUCACUUUAGAGUUUAAAAGCUCAACCCACAUACUCUAAAAAAAUGCCUUGCAAUGAUGGAUCACCAAUUUGCCACCCUCCUCGCUAACCCAUGAACUAUUUAUUUCUAAGGUAAAGUAUGGAGUGUGAGCUUGGUAAAGCCUAGUGAGUGUACAAAGAAUUGCCACAAUUAGACAUAAAAUCCGUAGUUGAAAGAAAACAUGCUAAAUCAUGCAACCAUAGCAUAGAAUCAAACAUAUCACAAAGCAAACACAAUGAUAUAUUGGCAUAAUGUGACGUGGAACAUAUAUAUAAUCAGUAAUGCAUUAGAUAAGCAGAUCUCCAAACACUCCUCAUGACUCAUAAAGUUGAAUGUUAUCUCCAUGUAAGUAUAGCAUGAAUGCUCAUACUCUCUAAACAUAUCACGCUAUCUACGAUGAUGGAGCUACGCUCGACAUUUCCUUAUCUCUCCAAUGCUCUCUCCGGGCCAUAAUGCCUUAACACAUAAUAAAAAUGGUUAUUACUCACAAUCUUAUGAUAUGUCAAUGAUAACCAAUGGUUCCAAAUAAUCACAAUGCCAAAAUAUCCACUUACACACAUAUUCACUCAUCAUUUUAUACAAACUUUCACCUGUUAACAACAUUUUCUCAAUCAAUUUCUCAACACUUUUAAUGCACUCUCAAAUGCUAUCAAAAUUGCUCAAAAGAGCCAUAAUCAUAUUAAAUUAUUCAAGUGCACAUAAAACCAACAAGCACUUAUCAAUGAUUGUCAUUUACACAUAACACAUGCUUAAUAUUUCACAUGAUUCACAUAUCACAAUAAGCAAACAUCGAAUUUAAUAGUACAUAGGUCAAGUAGAAAUACUUACUCUCGAAGCUUAGAUUAGGUUAUUAGACCAACCUAAGCUCCUAUUCAACCUUAGGAAUCGUGCCUAAGAGCCACAGUAUCAAUCACUCACCUAGUCAAUGCCUUGCACACAACAAUCUCAAACGAGCUUUUCUUUCCUUUUUGCCUUGCUUGUAGAAGCUCCCGACGAGUCUGACGCUUUGCAUUCACAUUAAAUACAUUAUAGACACAUUAUUAACAACCUUAAAAAAUAUAGUAGCAAAAUCACUACUCUAAGGUCACUUUUCUCAUACCCAAAAUCAACUCAUUUUGUCGAAAUUUGAGGUUUCCUCACUCAAUUUAUGUUCCUAAACCUUAAUUAAGUUUCUAAACAUCUUAUUUAACCUAUUAUUGCAAAUAUAAACCUUUAAUUUUACCUAAUCUUACAAAUUUAAAAUUUUCGAAAAAUCAAGUUUUUAUGAACAUAUAAAGGGGGGGAAUUGAAUUCUGGAAAAUUCAUUACGGAUCCAUUAAAUUGAAUUCAAAUAUCUAAUAUUUAGUUAAAAACAUAUUAGAAAUCAAUAAAAAACUGUAGGUUUACUUAUUAUUUCGGAUUUCACCAUUGUUGAAUUAAGAUUUGAUUAAAAAGCUUUAAAUCUUAAAAACUAUCAACACACUCAAUUAAAUUCCGAAAUAGAAAAACAAAAACAUUAAUCUAAUCAUAAUAAGUCAAGACAUUACCUCAAUUUGAAGAAAACAACAUGUUUUGGAGCUAAUUCGAAGUUGGACAUGAGAAGGAUAAUAACGAAUUUGAUAAAGAUUUAAUGAUUUUUCUUUAAAAUUGGAUGGUGUUGAGGUGUUUGGAUAGUUAGAAAAUUACUUGAAGAAGGAAACAUUGCCUUUUAAAAACAUCCAAUUUUCCCUUAUUUUUCAAAUCAAUCCUUAGUUUAAUUAAAACACAUUUUUCCUCAAUUAUUUUCAAACCCAAUUUUAUUUUUAAAAUUUGUUUUAACUAAAUUAAUUUUUAAAUACUUAAUUUUAAUUUCUUAACCUAAAAUUAUUAAUUAUAUUUAUUUUAAUAUUUUAUUUAAUUAAUAUUUAAUUAUUAAUAAUCUGACUUAAUUACGAUUUCUAAUUCACUAAUCCUUGAUUUGCUAUACCGAUUCUACUAGCCCAGCUUUCAGGAUGUGAUAGUAUUUCUCAUAUUUUUUGAUAUCCCCCCUGUUAUUUGGUAUUCUCUCAUAAUGGUACUUUGUCAAAGUUUUUUUUUUUUUUUUUGUACUUCUUCAUCAUUUUUUGCAGUUCCUGCUGCCUCAUGUUUUUUGGUGUUCCCACGUAACUUUUUAUAAUUAGAUUUUUUGGUGCUUCCUUAUAUUUCUUUUGUAAUUCCUCAUGUUUUUUUUGUAUUCAUUCAUAAAUUUUGGUACUACUUCCGUCAUGUUUUUUUUUUUUUUUUUUUGUGAUUGUUGAGGGCUUUUUGCUACUUUCUCAGAUUUUUUGGUGUUACCUGAUAAUUUUUUUGUGGCUCCUCAUGUUAUUUUGUACUUUCUUUUAUUUUUUGCUAUUCCCUCAAAAUUUUUUAUAUUUCCUCGUAUUUUUUUAGUAUACCCUCAAUUUUUUUUAUGUGGUUUGGAAAUGAUGAUUUGGGAUGAGAUAUAACUUUGGAGUAAAAAAUAUUAAAUUUAAAUAUUAAGAAAUUUUAAUAGGAUGAUGUAAAGAAAAAUUUUGGUAACUUUUAAAUUAUUAUUUUUCAUACUAAAUUUUGUAGGGGAAAAAUAUAUUUCAUGAUAAUUUUUUUAAAAAAGUAAAAAUUAAAUAAAUGAAACAAAUUUAGUAAGACGAAUCAAAUUUGGUAUCCUCUAAUAUUCUCUCGUAUUUUUGGUACUUCUUAAUGUUUUUUUUUUUGUAAGUCUUUUAUUUUUUUGAGUUUUCCCUCAUAAUUUUUAGAGUACUAAAAACCACGAGGGAAUAACACAAAAUAUGAUGUGAGUACCAAAAAAUAUGAUGAAGUACCAAAAAUUAUAAGAGACUACCAAAUAUUGAUUCUUCUUAUAAAAUUUACUUUAUUUUUUAAAAUUUUUUAUUUUAUAGUAUAUAUAAAACAAAUUUUAUUAUUAUUGAAAAAUAUUUCUUUUAUAUCAAAAAUUGAUUUUUCAAGUCAACAUUUUAUUUUGAAAGCAUACUAAAAAUUCUAAUGGCAUGCCUUACGAGAAAAUACUAAAAUUAUGGGAAAAUAUUAAAAAUUAUGAGGAAUUAUUAAUAAUUAUUAAAAAAUUAUGUUAGAAUUUAUGAAUAAAUAACAAAAAUAUGAGAGAAUAUAAAAAAUGAUGGAAUUUGUUUUUCAUAUUUUUUAAGGUAAUUCAUUUACAAUUACAAGAGAACUUACAAAAAGCUGUAAUGAGUUAUUUGUAUAAUUUUUUCAAGAGCCCCUUCGGAUGGAUAGUAUAUUUUUCUACAAUUAAUAUAAAAAUAACGAUAACAAUAAAAUUAGAUACUAUAAUAAUAUUGCAUACCUAAAAAAAAACUAAAAAUAAAAACCCAUAUAAAGCAGCCCCAGAUCUAAUUACUAAAUGCGUGUUGAAAUUUUACUUUAACUAAACCAAUUAUUAACUUAGAAAUAUUAUCUAUCUAUCAAGUAAAAGAAAAUUGUUUGUCGAUUUUAUUACAUUGCUAUAUUAUUUAUAUUUAAUUUAAGUAUAUUAAUAAAAAAAGCACGCAUAGCAGGGCAAAUGUAUAAAAAAACACAUAAAUUUCCCUUUAUUUUAUUCUAUAGCAGGUCUCUUAAAAUGGAACCCUACAGUAAAUUUAUUCUGGGAAAACCAAAAGCUACUCAACAGCAUCAGUAGCCUUCAAUCCCCUAAUUGUUCAUAUUAUACUGCUAGAAAAACAGCUGAAAAUAUCGCUAAAACUCUAACAAGACAGACUGGGUCCAGGAUCAACCCCCAAUUGUUUACAAUAAUCGGUGUAAAACCGAAUUCGACGCUGAACUUUGUCUUGUGCAGCUGGAACACCACAUUCAAGCCUGCCAUUGAUGGCUUUGAUGGUUGCUCCGAACCCUUGGCCGAUGAAGGGGCGGACAGCGGCCAUCCAGUACCAUAAUGAACCCUUAAAUGAGACAACAGGAUCAUUGGCCACCAUUUCAGGAUUUUUCAAUAAGUCCAGCUUCAAAGCAUUCCCUGCGUUCCCGUAGUUAGUAUUCCCUGUAAGCUGAAGCGGUCCUCGACCGUGGUAGGACUUCCCUGGUGCACAUGGGAACUUUGGAUUGGCUUCACAGUAGCUAUUACUUUUAUCCUGCUCUUCUGUAUAGCAAAAGACUGCAAAUAUAGGAAUAUAUACAAAGACAUCAGAUUUAGGACUAUAUAAUGAGCUUCGAAUCCGUGGUUUAGUUCAAAGGAAAAAGAGCUUUACAUUCAGUCUCAUGGGUAGCAUGGGCGAAGAAUGCAGCAAUCUCACGCUUGGAUUCAACAUCAGAACCCAAUUUUCCGAAAUCGGGAAAGGAAUCAAGUGCAGUCAGGAAAGCUUGUCGUGUAUAGAAUUUCUUGCCUGCACAAUCCGCACGAGCUUGGUUGAUUAUCCCGUUGAAGAACUGAGGUGAAACAAUGGAGGCAACUGAAGCACCAGUGGGAGACUUGGAGAAACAAGGGCCUUCUUUGCAACCAGUGCCACAGUAAUCGUUACCCUGACCGCAAUAACCAUGUUGACUGCAACACAAGUUUGGCGCACAGCCACAGUUUUGAGCCAACACGGUUUGGGUUAUAGCUGAAGCAACUACUAGUCCUACGAGAACAGAUGUUAGUAGCUUUUUUC
rnacentral:lncRNA from 1 species